rnacentral:lncRNA from 1 species
AUCGGAUAAAUAUCCUAUAUCUGCAUAACCAAUUAAAUUUGAUUUUGAUACAUUUAAGUAAUAUAAGCCCAUGUACAUUGUUCCUCGGAGAUAUCAAGGUAUAUGUUUAAUUUCAUUCCAAUGUCUUCGAAUUGGAGAAGAACGAUGUCUUACCAAUAAAUUACAACAAAUGAUAUAUCAAGGCAUGUUUUACUAGCAAGAUACAUUAAUGCUCUGUUUGCACUAAGAUGUGGUACUUCAGGACCAAGAAGUUCUUUAUCAUCAUUAGAAUGUCGAAAAUGGUCUUUUUUCAUAUCUAGUAACCUUACAACCAUUUGUGAACUCAAUGGUUGUGCUUUGUCCAUUUAGAAUCAUUUAAGCAUUUAUGUUAUAUAAUUGAUUGAUGGACAAAAUUCCAUUUGUCAAGUGUUCAAUCUAAAGACCCAAACAAAACUUUGUUUUUCUAAAGUCUUUUAUCUCAAAUUCUUUCUUUAAAUAAUCCAUGCCUUUUGAUAACUCUUCAAGAGUUCUAAUAAAAUUCAAGUCAUCAACAUAAACAACAAUUAUAAUAAAUUCAUAUCUAAAUUUUUUAUAAAAAACAAUGAGAAUUCAUCAUAUUGAAAAAUCUUUUGGUUUUUCAAUAAAUGAUCACAUGAAUUUUCAAUAAUUUUUUGCACCAUUAUUGAUCCGGGAUGGUCCAACCGGUCAUGCCAAACAUUAAAAUCAUUAGUAAACUUCUGUUUCACUAUGAGUUUCAAUCAUUUUGUAGUACAAUCUAAAGAACAAAGCAAAUAAUUUUUCCACCUCACACUUCCUAUUCAAGAUAAUAAAUGUAAUAUAGAGGUAUUAAAUCUCUUUUUUAUUUGUUGUCUAAAUAUGAUAUUUAUUCAGACGAAUAUGUUUAAAACUUAAUAAAUUUCUUUGAGACUUGGUAGAAAAUAAUGCAUCCUCCUCUAUUAUGAAUUUUGUUCCUCCAAGUAGUAAAAUAUUGGUUUUUUUUUAGCCUUCAAUUAAUCUUGUACUACCAGAUAUUAUAUUGACAUUGAUUUCUUCCAUUGUCAAGUGAGAAAAAUAUUUCUUUCCUUUAAAUAUAGUGUGUGUUGUAGCACUGUCUACUAGACUUAUAUUUGUAUCAUUGAUCUUAGAUCUAAUUAGAUGAAUAUUUAUAUAUUUUUCAAUAAAAUAAGAUAUAUAUAUAUAUAUAUAUAUAUAUAUAUAUAUAUAUAAUAAGAAACUUGCAAAUUAACAUAAGAUAAUAUUGAAUAUAUAAUUUACUAAUUAAAACGUAUAAUAAAAACAUAUCAUUUAAUGAGAACAUAUAAAAGCAUCUUCAUAAUAGAGAUACUAAAAUAUACUAAUAAACUAUUAAGAAAUUUCAUUUUUGGAUAUUUCCAUUACUAAUCAAAUGAUCUUUAGGGUGGACAAGACAAUUAACAUCUUGAUCUAUUAUAUCAACUUGGCCAUGGUUAAAAUCAUCUUGAACAAAAUUUUCUUUGAUAUUUUUUUUCUUUUAGCUUUCAGUGAUGCUUAAUAAAGUUCAAUAAGAUGUUUUAACUUUUAAUGAUGCUUGGUAAAGUUCAACAAGAUGUUUUAACUUUCAAUGAUGCUUGAUAAAAUUAAACAAGAUGUUUUGACGUACAAUAGGUACAUGACCAAUGGUCUUUCAUGCCACAUCGAUGAUAAGACACUUUCUAUAUUCUUUUUAUUUUGUCUAUUUUUGUCUUUUCACUAUUCAUACACUUCUAGUGGAUUAAAAGUACCCAUGCAUCCACUUUUGGUGGGUUAGUAUUCAUCCAUUUCUAGUGGGUUAGUGGGUAAAGUUAUCUAUCCACGUCUGAUGGGUAUCCAUCCACUUCUAAUAGGUUUGUGGUAAGUAUCCAUCCAUUUCUAGUGGAUAUCCAUCCACUUCUUAUAGGUUAGUGAAAAGUAUCCAUCCGCUUAUGGUUAGUAACAUUAUCCAUUCAAUUCUAGUGAGAAUUAGAAUAAUGAUUAGUGUAAAUUAUUAUAGGACCUCUUCCAUGCCUAUGACUAUAAUUAUUAAAUGUUAUCACAUUCAUUUUUGGGGAUAGAUGGAUUCAUGAUGAUAUCAAGUCACUCACUUGAUUUGCUAAAACCAAAAAUCAAAAAUUGACAAUUGAAAAUCAUGAUAAUAUCAAGUCAUUUAUCUGAUUUGUUAAAACCAUAAAUCAAAGAUCAACUAUGAAACUUGGAGAUGAUGAAAACUAAAUAAUAUCAAAACUUGAGAUAUUAGAAAAUCAUGUUGAUAACGUGUUAUAAAAUAUAACUUGAAAAAACAACUAUAAAAAAAAGACAAUAGUAAAGAAAGUAUUUAAAAAGAGUAAGAAAAUGUUAUUAAAGUGUGUACUUACAAAUAUAAUGAAAGGUCUAUUUAUAGGCUAAUAACCUCUUAUCUAAAUAGAAUUUAUAAAAGUAAAGAUAAUAUUAAGAGAUUAAAUGAAUGAAUUAUAUCUUAAUUUUAAUCCAAUAUAACCUAUAUCCAAAUCUAGAUGUAUAUAACAAAAUAAAUAUUUACACAUAUAUUCAUAACAAAUCUGAAUUAUUCUCAAAUUUUACAAUAAAAGAUUCUAGAUAAAAUGAUGCGUCUGCGAGAAAGAUAAAAGGAAAUAGAUAUAAAGCUUUAUAGCUGGGUGUGAGGCAGAAGUAUUGGUUGGAGAAGGCUGAAGGGUUGCCUCUUAGCCUUGUGUAGGAUCAACGACAAAAUUAGGUUCGACAAUGACAUGACUCGGAGAUUUGUUAGGGAUAGAAAAUCUUAUCACCCUUUAUGGAUCCGUUGGAAGACCACAAGUAGUUUUGGCUUUUUUUUUUUUCCAUAGGGACUUGAAUUCCUUAUUCCUCCUCUUCUUGUUUCUCACUUUCUUCCUUAGGUUGUUGAUACGGCAACAGUAAGAGUUGUUUGAGCUCCACAGGUCAAAUCAGGAGUUAAGACAGAUGCUAAGUUUCUUCGGAAGAGUAGACAUGGCAGAAGGCAAUACAUGUUUGUAUUUUCUUGAUCACAAGGUUUGGUGGUUCAGAUUGGUCGAUUUUGAGGGAGUGCCCUUGCUAGAUGAAGCUUGGGUAGAAAUGGGCUGGCUUGGACUAAUCCCCUCGAGGACUAAUUCGAGCAAGCAUGAUUGGAAUAGUCCUUUUCAUGUGACUUUGGUGAUCUGACAACAAAUUAAGAAGGCGAAGUCUUGAGGAAUUGUUUUGUGAAGGAUUUCUAUUAGGCCUGUGACAGGGAAUUUCGUGGUGGACUUUGUCAACUUGACUGCUUCGGUUGCCAAACAUCACAAAUUGGUAGCCUAAUAAGGACAGAUUUCUUCAUUAAUAAUUACUAGGAAAUUUCAAACCAACAAAGAAACUAUGGAAAUUUCCAUUACGGCUUUAAUCAUUUGCGUCGCCCACUUUAUUAAUUAACUCUCUCUCGCAUCUCAUCUUCCUUUUCAGAGGUUUUACAUUUUUCUUUUAUCACUCUCUUAAAAAAAAAACCAAAGAAUUGAUGAACAUCACAUUGAGCUGUCGCUUUUAUCUGCUCAUGAAAGCAAAUAUAAUUAAUUAAGUAUCAAUAGAUUGGCUAUUUAAAUUUUAAGAGUAAUUAAAGAAAUUUUCUUGUCAUAAAAAGGAAUAAGAAUUACGACUAUUAAUUUCUUAAUUCUUAAAUAUUUUUCACGCUUCGCUUUUAAAAGUUGAAAAGAAAAAAAAAAAAAGCUAAAGGAGGAUGAUGGAGCCAUCUAUAAAUUAGACAACUAAGAAUAGUUUCAAUCCUCAUUUAAUGCAUGCUUAAUUGCCAUGCAAGGAUGCAUGGGACUUUGGCCGCCUAUCCUAUAAAAUUGUUGGUGCAAAUUUUCAUUUUGAACAAAUCUAAUCUUCAUAUAGUAAUAUAUUUAUUAUAUAUAUAAAGAUGUUAAAAAAAAUCAAACUUUAGAUCAUAACCACUUCCAAAAAAUUAAAAACCGUUUAGUUUUGGAAGGAGAGGCAAAACGAAUUUUUUUUCAAGAGAUAAAUUUUAAAAUUUUCAUUAUAUUAUAGCUUAAUAUUGAAUUUUUCAUCUGACAAAACUAAAUCCAAUCAUCAAUCACCGAUCAUUGGUCAUUGCUAGGCACCAAUAUAACCCAAAAAAAAACAUUUUUCAAUUUUUCUGCUCCUUAUUCUUUUAAUGGGAGUAAUUUUUUGAAAAUCUCCUCAUUUCUCACUAAAUCUCAAAAAAAAAAAAAACGAAGAUACAAGAUAUUUAGAUUUAUGAUUUUUGGAGAUUUAAAGAAAAAAAGAAAGUUUUUAAAAAACUACUCCAAUUAAAGGAAAGAGAAGGAUAGGAAUAAAAAAAAAUCUUUCUUUUGUUUUUUUGUGAUUCUAGCCAGUUGGUGAUCAAUAGAUGAAUGAUGAUCGACAAUUUAAGAUUUUGGUUCUUUUAUAUAUCACUUUAACUAGACAGGUCAUAUGUCAAAUAAGUAAAAAAAAUACAUGGUGUUGGGAAUAACAAUAAUUACAUUUCCAUUAAGUUAAAAGAGUUUAUUUAACUUAAACUGAAAAUUUUUGAACUGAUUUAAAUGUAAUAAAAGAUAAAAACCUUAUUGAAUAUAGGAACUUUUAAUAAUACGUACCAUGGCAGAAUUCAAUGUGGUUUAAGCACGGUGAUAAAACUAACAUUGAGCCAUAGCACAGUAACAAAGUGUUAUUUAUUUCUUUCCUAAACUACACCUUUAUUGUUGUCUUCUACUUGAGAAUUAAAAAAAAAAAUUCUUACACUAUUACUUUUAAACAAAAGAAAUCCAAAUUUAUCAUUUUACUUGCAUCCGAGUAUUUUGUUUAUUACUUGAUGCAUAAUUCUCAUUUAAAGUACAAGGUUCAAAUCUCUUCUCCCAAUUAUAAAAUUUAUCAUUUUACUUAAAGUGAUAGACUAAAUUUACAAUUUAUUUUUGAGUGACUACAAUUUUAAUGCUAUUAGACUAUGGCUCGUGCGUUACACACGGGGCCUCUUUCCACCUCUCUUUUUCUUUCUUCAAUACGCUUUCUCUUUUUUUCUAUGGCUUCCACGUGGGUAAGGGAGGAAGCCCCUUUGGAGCUUCCUUUUACUUAAGGGUGAGCAAAUUGGUCGAUUAGGUGGUUUGAUCCACCAUACUUAAGUAUCAAAUGGAUCAAUCAAUUCUAAAAAAUCGAUCAAAUAUAAAAAAAGACCAAACCAAUCAAACAUAAAAUUGGUUUGAUUGAUCCGGUUUUGGACCAAAAGACCAACAUUUUAUCACUUUAUUUUUUUACAAAUUAUAAUAUUAAAACUUAUAAACUUCAUCCAUAAUUAUAUAUACAUGUGUGAAAUUAAUGAUAUAACUUCUAUGUUAAAAUGUUUUAUAACAAAGUUUGUAUAAAUAAAAACUAAUUAUAAACAAUAUGUUAUAAAAUCUAAGGUGAUGGCUAAUGAACUUAUUAAGUGUAAUCAUAUAAACAAAAUUUAUUAUAAGUUAUAGUAACGCUUAUGUAUAAGUUAAAUAUAUGUAUAUAUAUAAUAUAUUACUUUAUUAGAUAUAUAAUUAAUGAUACAAAUUAUAUGUUAAAAUGUUUUAUAUCAAAGUUUAUAUAAAUAAUAACUAAUUAUAAACAAUGUGUUAUAAAAUCUAAUGUGAUAACCAAUAAAGUUAUUAAGUGUUAUCAUAUAAAUAAAGUCUAUUAUAAAUUAUAGUAAUACUUAUGUAUAAAUUAAAUAUAUGUAUAUAUAAUUUAUUUAUACAAUUAUAUAUAUAUAUAUAUAUAUUCAUAAGAUUUUAUAUUACGAAUCAUUACUAAGGUCUAAUAAGUAUAAUAUAUUAAUAUGUAGGAUAUUUACUAUCAUAUAUUAUAAUAUUAACAUGUAACGUACAGGGGCGGAGUUAGCCAAAUUUUAUUAGGGAGGCCAAACACAGUUAAAUAAGAGUUAAAAAUUUUAAAAAACUAAUAUGUUAAAUUCAAUCAAUAAUAAAAAUAUUGAUAAUAGAAAUAUGAAACUAAAUAUAAAACUAUAAUUUAUAAAAUAUAAAUAGUUAAAAACGAUAUAUAAAAUUAAUAAUUUUUUCUUAUAUAAUCAGAAUUAUUUAAAUACUAUAUAUUCAAGAUAAUUUCAUUUUAACUAAACAUAAAUCGUAAAUCAUAUAAAAAAAAUAUACUCAAGUCAAUUUCCUCUUACAUAAUCAGGAUUAAUAAAAAAAAUAAUGAAAUUUUAAGUUACAAUGUAAUAUUACAACUUAUAUUUGAGAACUAUAUAAUAAUUUAUUAAUUUUUAAAAAUUAAAAUCAUAGAAAAUAAAAUUUGUGUAACAUAAAAAAGAAGAACAUGGUAAGUAAAAGGUAGCUACCACAUAUUACAUAACAAAAAAGAAAGAAAAAGAAUAUGGUUAAUGGUUUGUAGAAAUUUAAGAAAGAAUAUUUAUAGAAACUUAUAAUAUAUGAACAGAUAGAAUAAAAAUAAAAAAAAUAAAUAUAAAUAAAAAUAAUAAUAUAAAUUAAAAACUUUAAAAGUUGAGUGAGAUAAGUGAAAUCAUUUAAUUAUUUUUUAUUUAUAUUAAUCAUUAAAUAAAACAUUAUUUUGAGGGAGUAAGUAAUAGAAUAUAUAAAAAUAUUAAAAAAAAUUUAUAUGUUAUGAAAAAAAAUUUAAAAGUUUGGGGGGGCCAUGGCCCCCCCAUCACAUAAGGAGGCUCCGCUCCUGGUAACGUAUAUCAUUUAAAAUAUAUAAUUUGUAAUUUCAUAUUACUUUAGAUUUAUAAAUAAAUAUAUAUAUAAUUAAUAUUAAAUUACUAUGAUUAUAAUUUAUAUAUGUACGUAUAAUAUCUUAAUAUAUUUUAAGUAUAUUAUUAAUUAAGUUUACUCUCAAUUCUUCUUAAUAUAUAUAAAAAAUAUUUUAUAUAUUAAUAUAUAUAUAUAUAAUUAGUUUGGUUUUUUGGAUGGAUUGAUCUAAAAAUUUUAAAACCAAGAACCGACCAUAAAACUAAUUAGAUCAAACAUUUUGGACCAAUUGAUCCACCAAUUAGACCAAACCAUUUUACAAAUAUCGCAUUUGGUUCGGAUAGAUAAUUGGUUUGAAUUGGUUUUACUCACUCCUACUUUUAUUUAUGUAAUAGAUACUUUUAAUUGAAGUCACAAAUAGUCAAAAGUUAAUGGAAAAAAGUAGUUUAUAAAUCACACUCAUUAAAAGUUUAUUUUUACCGAAUUUUUUUAUCAUUUUUGUUACAUAUUUUUUAAAUCAAAUAAUGUUAAAAAUUUCAUCCAUUUAAAAAUAGAUGGUAAAUUUGACAUAGAUCAUAUGGAUUCACAGAAUUAUUCAUAUAUUCUUCUUCAUAACCAUACAAGUUCCCGAUUUAAUAAACCUUUUUCUUUGUCUAAUAUGUGCUCAAAGAAUUCCGCCAAAUCUUUAUUGAUUAUAUAAUGCAAUUUGAUUAAUCCAUAAUAGCGUCAGUGGAAUGCACCUAACUAGAAAUACAGUAGUCAACUCGCUUACACUAAUUUUUUAAGAGAAAAAAUAAUGGUUGGAGAAGCUUUCUGAUGGAAAAUUAUUUGGCAGUUAAUCAAAGCGAUAAGAGGUUAAUUUAAACUAAUUUGUUAAAUUAAUGCACGGAGGCACCGACCCAACAGAAUCCAAUCAAAAGAAAAAAAAAAAUAAUAGUAAGAGUUAAGAGAUUAGAGAUGAUGAUUAAACUAACCUAAUCAAUGGUCCACUUUUUCUCCAACAUUGUAUUGAUUAUUUAUGAUGAUGAGAGCUAGCCAAACGAAUUAGGUGAAGCUCUUUAAAUUUCAUAUUUACUUUAAUGGAAAAGGUAAUUAAAAUUAAUCCUAUGAAUUCCUAGCUAGCACUCUUCUGUCACAAUUAUGUUUGAAUAGAAAUUUGUGAUCAUAGCUUGUGAUGGUAAUUCAUUAUACUACUAUAGGAUUUUUAGUUUACAUAAUAAUUAGGAAAAAGAAUACUGAUGCUUUGUCCUCCACAAAUUCCACAUGCCUAAUAAUGAAUGUGUGCAAAACACAUGAAACAAUUAAGUCUCUGUCUCUUUUUUUUUUUUUUUUGCUUUAUCAUUAUUAAUAAUAAUAAAAGCAAGUGAGUUGUUUGUGGCUUAUAGUAGAAUUUAAUUAACCUAGUUUUGGUUCUAAACCACAAAGCAUAAAAGAAAAGGUCAGUGAAACUGGAUUGUGGGAUUCGAUUUAUCUCCAUGGGAUUGUCUUUGGUUAUUAUUUAAUCUCAUUGCGAUCAGAGUAGUUUAAUUUUGUAUUUUUACGUAAGUCUAGCAAAGAAUGAGGUUUCUAUAUUUCUUCUUAUAUUGUUCUGCAAACCUAUCGAUUUACGGGGAAAUUUUUAUAGUUCUUUCUCUUAAUGAAAUUUUCAUUUGUUUUUUAAAAAAAAAAAAAGGGUGAGAGUAUUGCUGGACCAGUGCUCGACUGUAAUGUUUCAAUGUGUUAGGAGAAAUGCCAUUUUCUAGCUUAUAUUUUUCCUGGUUGGAAGGCAACGCCAAACUUUUGUAAUAUUAAUUGGCCCUUUUUUAAAAAAAAAAAAAAAACCAAAAUUUCUUUUGCCUAAAUUUGCCUUGGCUGCUCUUUUUUCUUAAUAAUCCUAUCUAACUCUUUUUUCUUUGGGAGAAAAUUUUUUGAUACAAAUUCUAGAGAUUGCAAUCCAUUUUCCCCAAAGGCUACUGAAAAGACUAGCUAGCUACACAUGUUUUAACCUUAUCACCAAGGCAAAUGAAGAUAUGAUCGUUGAUGGGUAAGAACCCAAAGCCAGAUAAUGCAGCCAAACGUGAUUACCUAAAUAUAUAGCAAACUCGGUACAUGCCACAACUUUGGAGAAAUGAAUGUAAACCAUGCACCUUGGCCGUAUAAAAUAUAUAAUAGUAGAAAUAUGAGAACCAUACGUUUUCUUUUUUAUUACUUAAAUUAAGGGAGCAAAUAAUAUGAAAUUUCACAUGAAAUGCAUUCGACAAGUGAACAAAAACAAAAGGAACGGGCAAAAGAAACAUUUUUCUUUUUUGAGAUUUUAAAUUUAAAUAUUGAUAAAGAAAGUGAAAAUUAUGAUGUAAAGAGGGGUGAUUAAGGGUAUUAGUAUAAACUUGUCUAGGUAAAUUCAAAGGUAAUCGAAUAUGAUAAAUGGGAAACAAGAGUAAGUGAAUGGAACUUGGUAAAGCCGUUAAAAGAACCAUCCCCGAAAGAUACAUGAAUAAAAUAAGAUCAGAAACAAGAGGAGUAUAUGUCAUUUCUUAGGUUCAAUUGGAUGAGAAGACAAUGGAAUAUCAAAUAAAAAAAAUUGAAGGAAUUGCAUAAACAAGGCAGAAAUGGGGUGAAAGAAUGAUUAAGGAAUAUAGAAGAAGUUGGUGAGAUGGAAGGCAUGAAGAUUAGAUGGGGCUGUAAAAAGAGAAAAUUAAUUUAUAAAAAAUAUAUAUAUAAUUAAAAAAAAAAAAGGCAAGGCCAAAGGGUUUGUCCUGUGUGCCAUGUAAGUCCUACUAGUCCCCACAUGUAUCCAAACCACCAAUCAUCAUAGUCAUGCUCUGGGAGAUGAGAUUUGCCAAUUUGAUUGCACCAUGCAACACGCUCCAAUAACUAAUAAUUUCCUUCGCCUCUUUUGCCCCCUUUUUGUCUUCUUUACUUAUUUACCCUAUUUUAAUGGGAAAAAGCAGAAAAGCAGAAUGUAGAUAAGAUUUCUUACGUCCAAUUCAAGUUUACCAAGUUUUCUAAAAGAAUCGAUAAAAUUGGUAAAUUAUCUAAAUAAAAAAAAAACCUUCUUCACUUAUUUAAAAAAUUUAAAUUUUUUAUUUUUAUUAUAAUUAAAUAAAUUUUUUAUAUUUUUAUUUCUAAUCAAAUAAAUUUUUAUAAUUAAUAAUUAAUUGAUUGAUGUUUUAAUCAAAAUAUUACUUGUUAAUUUAUACUCACAUGAUAUGUUGAUGUAUCAUAAUAGAUGAUGAGGUAUGUUAUAUUGAUGUGAUAUUAUAAUAUAGUCAUAUAGUAUUUUCACCCUAUACGUUAAUGUCACGUGAGUAUAAAAUAAUAAGUGAUAUUUUAAUUAAUAAAAAUUAAUCGUCUAUUACUCAUAUGAGUUUAUUUGAUCAAAAAUAAAAAUAUAAAGAUUUGAUUGAAUACAAUAAAAGAAUAAUGGCUUAUUUGAAUUUUUUUAAAUAUUUUGAAGAUUUUUUCAAGUAUUGUGCAUAAAAAUUUAUAUAGAUAUGUGCAAAUUUAGUAUUAUUAUUUACCAAUUCAGGUGAUUAGUAAUUAGUAAGCAUAAAUCAUUAAAAGAGGGUUUUUUUUUUAAUGCUUAUCAAAAUUAUCAUGCAUAUUACUUUAAAAAAAUUAUGUAUAAAACAAAAUUCAUAACAUACAUGAAAGGACAGUAAUAGAAUGACAUAAAUAACAAACAUGUUUUCUGCUCUAGUUUUUUCUGGGGUCAUGAAUUGAAAGCUAUUGAAAGUGGUUGAAUGCUCAAUGUACAAUUAAUAUAUUGAUGAUUUGAUGAUGGGUUAUGCUAAAAUUAAUUGAGAUUGAUGGACUCUUAAAAAAUAAAAUAAAAUAAAAUAAAAACAAAUAGUGGUUGUGGGUAUUCAGAUAGCUACGGCUCAACAAGAAAGAUCACUUUGCAGCAAAUUAAAAUCUGCAAAAAUUUGUGUUUGUUUAUGUAAUGCCUGCUUUCUUAUCACAUCAAACUGAUAUCAUCACUCAUAUAUUAAUUUUGUAAGGUCAAAAUGCAAAACGAAAAUUGAAACGUAAUCCACAAAAAUAAAUAAAUAAAUAAAUAAAAAGUUUUAAGUUUAUUAUUUUGUUCUUUCAAACUUAAUUAUCCCCCAUCAAUUUCUUUGGAUUUUUUUUUUAAUUUUUGAAAAAGAAAAACUCUAACUCACUCCUUGAAUGGAGGAUAUACAUCCACUAUCAAAUCAAAUCAAAUUCUUUGCAUUUUUUUUAAUCUGUUGUAACUUUAAACCUCUCUUAUCCUAAUUUAAAAUUUAAAUUUCAUAAAAAAAAACUAAAAUUUAAAUCUGUUAGUUACUAAUUCAUUAAUUAAAUCUGAAAAUUUUUAGUUGCUCCAUUUGAUUCUCCCAUUUUCAUUCAUUAACAAGGUUAAUAGUUUCAUAAAAUGGGUUCUAAUCCUAUUUUUCAUAAAAAAUUAAAACUAAUUAUUUUUUAAAGGUUAAUUUAAGAACCCUCUUGUUUUUUCCCCCGUAAAUUUGCUUUGCUAAGAGAUUUCAAAUGUAGCAUGAAAAUUCCGAGAAAAUAUGACUUGAUAAAUAAGGCAAUUGGAAAAUAGGAUACUAAUACGCUAUGGGCCAUUGUAUUUCUUUCGUAUGAUUAGUCAAUUUCGUGUUCCUCGAGGAUAUAGUUUUGGGAAGAGAGACGUCUCUGCCACGUCAGAUCCGGAUAUGCUAGGAAUAAAUUUUGUUGGCCACUUUCUAGUUUUCAUAGCUACCCCUUCAUUUUACAAUUAUCCACAUUUCUCCCAACAUGUCAUUUUGAGACCUAUGAAGUAUGAAUAAUAAAAUUAAAAAGAUACAAUACUUAAACAAACUUCUAAACUAUUAAGGAAAAUUCAAAUAAAAUUUUUAUUUUUCUAUUACAUAUAAUCAAGUCGUUGUAUUUUUAUUUUAAAUUAAAUAAUUUUUAUAACUAGUAAUUGAUUAAUUAUCAAAUAAUUAAAAUAUUAUUUAUUAUUUUAUACCUACGUGAUAUUGAUAUGAAAGAUAAAAAUGUCAUAUGAUCAUAUAAUUAUAUCACACCAUUAUCUAUUAUAAUAUGUGAACGUGCUAUGUUAACAUUGUGUGACAUAGAAUAACAAAUAAUUUUUUGAUUAAUAACAAUUAAUUUAUGCUUGUUCGAUUCAAAAUAAAAAUUCAUGCUUAUUUGAUUUAAAAUAAAAAUACAUGUAUUUAAUUGAACACAAUAAAUGAUUAUUAGUUUAUUUGAAUUUUUUUUGAAUGACAAAAUUUUUUUAAGUAUUAUAUUAAUUAAGAAAAUGACUGCUACAAUUAAUAAUUAUAUAAAAAAAUUAUGGCAUAUCCUUAUAUAUUCCUUUAUGCUUUGUUUGUCCGCCAUUUCUUCCUCAAAUUAAAAAAAAAAAAGUCAAAAUUGGAUGUCAUAAAUUGAUUUGUAUGUUGAUAUGUCACAAACACAAUUCAAAGAUGGAGUUUAGCUCUUCCCCCUUUUUUCAACUUUUGUUUCAAUCACUUGGGCAUGAGGAGAACGUUUGUUUCAGUAAUAAUGACAACUUAGUCAUUUCUAGUACAUUUAUUUCUUUUGAAGGCAAAAUAAUUUAGCCAAACCAAUUGACUUUAUUAGCUCGGCUUCAUAGCACAGUAAUGCAAACAAGAAACAAAUCCAAAAAAAAAAAUUAAGAGUUUAUAAACUAACAAAAUUAUAGAUUUAUUUAUAUGUAUGUUCAUUAUCAUUUUUAAAAAAUCUGUCUUUUUUGUUAUUUAGUUUAUUAGUAUGCAAAAAUUUAGGAAAUUGAAAAACUAAGGGAUUUUACAAAAAAAAAAAUUGUUUAAAAUAAUGGAGUAUGAAAUAAGAUGGCAUAAUAUUCAAAUAAGUUCUUAAAUUAUUCAAAUAAAUUCUUAUUCUUUUAUUAUGUUUAAUCAAAUCUCUAUAUUUUUAUAUUUAUUAAAUAAGUCUUUUAUAAUUAAUGAUUGACUAAUUGUUAUUCGUUAAAAUAUCAUUUGUCAUUUUAUAUCUACAUGGCACUGACAUGAUAUUGACGUGGAAGGUGAAAAAUUUCACGUCAUUAUAUUAUCAUGUCAAAUUAUUAUUUCACGUCAUCAUUAAUUAUAAUACAUCAACAUGUCAUAUUAUCAUCACUUAUGAUAUGUGAGUAUGUUACGUCAGUAUUAUACAAUAUAGAAUGAUAAAUGAUAUUUUGAUUAAAUCAAUCAUUAGUUAUCGGAGUUUAUUUGACUUAAAAUUAAAAAAUAAAAGUUUAUUUGACUUAAAAUAAUAAUGUGAAAAUUUAAUUGAACGUAAUAAAAGUAUUAGCGCUUAUUUAAAUUUUUUUAAAUAGAUUAAGAAUUUUUUUAAAAAAUGAUGCCAUUAAAGACAUGGGCAUUUAACCUUGAGAACAUAGUAUAUAUUUAAUUUAUGGAUUUACUGGGGUGAUUAAUUACAAGAAUUAGGUCAGAUCUACUGGUCUAGAUUAGGGGUUGGAAAGAAGAAGAAGAAGUAGAAGCAGCAGCGUCUCUUCAACAUUGUUAUAGUUUGUUGGUAACUCUUGCUGACCAUUAGUUGUUCAAUUGAUUUCUCACCCUUUUUGAAGAUGAGAGAAGACAAGAUUUAGCUAGUAAAUACUACCUUCUCCUGCUCACAAACGCCAUAAAUUAAUAUAUAACAAUUGUAUAAGUAUUUUAUUUUUUUGGAAAAAAUAAAAUAAUGGAGCUAAAUAGUUAAAAUGUAGUGAAGUAUAAAUAUAGGAAGGAAAAGACAGGUCAACAGUCUGGGUAUGGUGGCUGCUGUUCUUUUAUAGUAAUUAAUUAAAUUAAACAUACUAAAUGUGUAAAAGAAAAAUAAAUUGGUUUUAUAAGGGGUUUUGGAGUUGCUGAGUGAGAAACAAACUUACUAUUUCUCUCUUUUUCAAUUUAUGCUUUUAUUUAUUUUCUGUUUAAUAAAGGGUUAGAGAGAGAAAGAGAGAAACGAAAGCUGGAUAUUGCUUGAGGAAACUACUCUGUUCCUCCCUCUCUUUCUUCUUUCAAUGAUUUUCUUCUCCCAAACCCAAACCCAAACCCGAACGUAACUCUGUCUCUGUUUUUGUCUUUUUGUUUCUCUGGGAAUAUCUUUUUUAUUGGUAAAAAUAUAAAGAAAAGUCAUUUUAAGGUCCAAGGAUUUGGAAAGUUUGGGUUGAUUGAAAGAAAAUGAGCAAAGAGAUGGUAAAGGAAGAAGCGCCGUCGUCGUCGGGUGUCGUUUCGGAGGAGAAUCGUCCUUUCGGUAGUCUGAGAAGCGUCCAAUGGCGUAUCAAUCUCGGGAUUUUACCUUCUUCUUCUUCUUCUUCGUCUUCGAUUGAUGAUCUUCGCAGGGUAACUGCUGAUUCUCGCAGAAGGUAAAGGUUACGCCUGUUUUCUUUAUUUCUUUUUCAUUUUUCUUUCCUACAAAAAAUUAACAUCUGCUUAAAGUUGUAAUUUUGAGAUUCUUUUCUCAUACAGAUUACCAAAAUUUGAAUUUUUUUUCUUUUUCUAAUUUUAAAUCUAAUUCUAAAUUUUUGAAAAAAAUGAAUUCAGCUGAUUCUAGCUUAAAAUUGAUAUAAAAUGAUAACUUUGAGUCUCGGGUUUUUAAACUAUUUUAUUUUAUAUUUCUCUGUUCAUAUUAUUUCAAAGAUCCGUCUUUUUUUUUAUAAUUAAAUCGCAAUUCAUCAAUGACCCAGAGAAAGUUGUUUCUCUAGAAAAAAAAAAAGAGAAAUGCAGCAAUUGAUUUGUUUUGUUCUUUAUUUUUUUUCGUUUUUCUAGAAUUAAAAACUAACCGUUAUAGCCUCAAAUCUGUAAUUUAUGGUAAUUUAGAUAUGCUGGGUUGAGAAGGCGGCUGCUAGUGGAUCCACAUGUUCCCAAGGAUGGAGGAAGUAGUUCCCCUGAUCUUGUCAUGGACAAUCCACUCUCACAAAACCCAGGUAAUUGUAAUGUUUCUUAUUUCUUUUUCUGCAUCCCUUGGAUUUUGCUUCUCUAUUCGUUAAAUGCUUGUAUUGUUCAUUCAUCAGCUUUUGUUUAAAUUAUUAGUGUUAACUUUUACCUUGCUAUCUUCUCUUGAUUAUUGUUAAAAUUUAUCUGGACAAAUGUUUCUGGGUCCGUUGUUUGUUUCAGUUGCGCAAAAGGGGAACCAAAUCUUGUUUCCUCCUUUUCCAUCUCAUCCCAGAUGGUUUCACCCUAUUUUAUGCUCUUUAAUCUUAGCUUGCUUGAUCUGUGUUAAAACAGUUGCUAAUUCUUCAUGCAGACAGCACCUGGGGUCGAUUCUUUCGAAAUGCAGAGCUGGAAAAAAUGGUUGACCAGGAUUUAUCACGAUUAUAUCCAGAACAUGGAAGCUACUUCCAGACUCCUGGAUGCCAGGGAAUGUUAAGACGAAUACUGUUGCUGUGGUGCCUUGGACACCCAGAGUGUGGUUAUAGACAAGGUAUUUUCUUAAGCUCUCUGCAUGCAGGUGUUAUAAAUUUUCAUGCUAUCACGUUGUAGUUUUCGGAAAACUAAAUGUGCAAUACGUAGCUACCCUAAUUAUUGACUGUGUUUUAAUAGUUAGAAUCCUAAAGUUUUUCAUGGUAAGGCUCAAAAGUAACAUGUUUGUUGUCACCUUAGGUGAAGGCUAGGAGUUGCUAAUGGAAAUUUCACUCCAUGGUAUGCAAUGACAAGGUCAUAGGAGUUUAGAACAUAAUAUCCAGAAUCAAGUUUAAUGUAAUACUUGCUAUAUUUAUAUGUGAGGCAUCCAACUUGCUCUUUAUCUGUUUCAUUUUCCUGCUUAUUUGUAGGAAUGCAUGAACUCUUGGCUCCUCUGCUGUAUGUUCUUCAUGUUGAUGUUGAGCGUCUUUCAGAAGUGCGAAAGCUUUAUGAAGACCAUUUCAUUGACAAAUUUGAUGGAUUGUCAUUUGAAGAGAAUGAUGUUACAUACAAUUUUGAUUUUAAGAAGUUUUUAGAUUCCAUGGAAGAUGAGAUUGGAUCUCACAGUAAUUCAAAGAAAGUUAAGAGUCUUGAUGAGCUUGAUCCUGAGAUACAGACCAUUGUAUUGCUAAGUGAUGCUUAUGGAGCUGAAGGUGAACUUGGUAUUGUCUUGUCUGAGAAAUUUAUGGAACAUGAUGCCUACUGUAUGUUCGACGCCUUAAUGAGUGGGGCGCAUGGUGCAGUAGCUAUGGCAGAUUUUUUUUCUCCCUCUCCUGCUGCAGAGUCUCACAGUAGCUUGCCCCCCAUCAUUGAAGCCUCAGCUGCAUUAUAUCAUUUACUUUCAAUUGUUGAUUCUUCGCUACAUAGCCAUCUUGUUGAGCUUGGUGUUGAACCCCAGUAUUUUGCACUUCGCUGGUUGAGGGUUUUAUUUGGACGGGAGUUUUCACUUCAAGAUCUCUUAGUUGUAUGGGAUGAGAUUUUCACAGCAGAUAACAGCCAACUUCAUAGAGACUCUGAAGAUGAUGAGAGUUCCAGUUUUAAAAUACUCAAUUCACACCGUGGAGCAUUAAUUUCUGCUGUGGCAGUCUCUAUGAUACUUUAUCUGAGAUCUUCCUUGCUUGCCACUGAAAAUGCUACUUCUUGUCUUCAGAGACUCUUGAAUUUUCCAGAGAAUAUAAAUUUGAAAAAAAUUAUAGUGAAGGCAAAGUCUUUGCAAAUUCUUGCAUUGGAUUCUAAUGUCUCAUCCUUGUCAUCUACAUUUGGUGGGGCUUAUAACUGCAGCAAGUCUGCAGUGGUGAGAGGUCACAGUCUUUCAUCUGAUUCAGUUUCUCCAAAAACUCCUCUAAGCCUGGUUCCUGACAGCUAUUGGGAAGAAAAGUGGAGAGUACUGCAUAAGGAAGAGGAACUAAGGCAAAAUAGUGUAGGUAAACAAACUCCAAGUGGGAAGAAGAGAUGGUCAGAAAAAGUAAAGCUGAGCCUAUCUAGAACUGAAUCUGACCCAUCACCUGCAAGAGCAGAGAAUUGCAAAAAGGGCCAUAGGUCAUCCAUUAGGCGUAGUUUGCUUGAAGAUUUGUCGCAGCAACUUGGCUUGGAGGAAGAUGCUGAAAAAGGAGGCUGUCUUGGAGCUUCUAACUCAGAGGAUGAUCAUUGUAUAGAAGUUCUGGUGGAGGGAGACAAUUGUACUAACAAAGAGUCUAUUUGUGCAGCUGAGGAGAGAUGUGAGAGUGGAAGUGGAACUGUUGUCAGUGACGAAAACUCCUCUAUUUUUUCCGAGCCAGCAAGCCCUGGCAGUGGCACAAAUGACCAUGAAAAUGACACAGAAAAAAGUAGUGUUGCGUCAAAUUUAUUUAUAGAUGAAAAUGAUGAUCACCAGCAAAGUAACCUAGAAGAUUCACCUCUGCCAGUUUCCCUUCCUCCUGAAGAUGUCCCUCUAAAUUCUCUGCAUGAGAAUGAAUCUUCAGGGAAAAUGGUCUCAGCUAUGAAGGAGCGAAGGCAUCUUUCAGGUAGAUUCCAGUGGUUUUGGAAGUUUGGACGAAACAACGUCGGUGAGGAGACAUCUGAUAAAGGAGGUACCAAUGAGGCUGCAAAAUCUCCAAAUCACGAUUGCAAGCGCAAUACAGCAGACUCAUUAACUGCUGGUGCUUCUCGUAAUUCAUCUUCCACCAGCAAAGGAGAUGCUGUGGACCAGAAUGUGAUGGGCACAUUAAAGAAUAUUGGACAGUCUAUGCUUGAACACAUUCAGGUAAUAUUCUGAUUUCUGUAACUUUGCAGAUUUCAACUCUUGAAGUAAACUGUUUUGUUGUUGAAUAGAACAGUCUAGUUUGGUCUAUUUUCAUGCUUCCCUGAAGAGUGUGUUUGGUUAAUUAAGCUGCGUAAGUUCAGUCUUCAAUUGAACAAGCCUUGAGAAAUUCUUAGUUGAGUGAACCUAAUGAAAACAUGAAGCUGAACUUUGAAAUUGAAGUUUAGUUGCAUCACAUGUGUAGAAUGUUGUAUAGAAUUUCAUAAUAGGGAACCUUUAUUGAAAUUUUAUAGAUAGAUGUCUGUAGAUCAGCCUAAUAUGCAUAAUUAAUCCAGGAAUUGAAAAUGAUUUUAAUAUUUAGGGAGAAUGAUGCUGUUAUAUUAGACAAUUGAAGAUGGUGGUUUCUUUUUCACUAGCACAGUUCUGGAUGCCUCCAGUUCCAUGUUCCACGCGUUUCCCUAAUAGCAUGCUUUUAGUUGUACUAGUAACUUGGCUUCAUCCUACUUGGAAGAUGGGAGCAGCUAACCAAAAAAUACUUGGGAAGUUGUCUAACAACUGUUGGGAGUCUGUUUACUUUCAAAGUUAGUCCCAAAGUACAUGGUUAAUAUGUAAAGCUUUAUUUUGAUUUACGUCCUUUGGUAUUUAAAUCACCAUUUGAUUGGCAGGUUAUCGAGUCUGUUUUCCAGCAAGAUCGGGGUCAGGUGGGAUCAUUGGACAACUUCUCUAAAAACAUUCUUGUUGGCAAAGGACAAGUUACAGCCAUGACAGCUCUCAAGGAGCUUCGGAAGAUCAGCAACCUUUUAUCAGAGAUGUGAGAUUUAUUGUAUUUAUUAUGAAAUAUGUAUAUACUUUUUUGUAAUUACCAUUUUUUUAGUGCAAAUAAAAUGAGUUUUGCUGCUUUGUUGGCUCUUAUAUUGUGUGGUAAUCCAAAUUUUUGUCAGUGUUUGAGAGGAUGAGGGUUGUGCAUAUGCGUUUCUGUUGUGAUCUUAUUGCCACAAAAUGUAGAUUUGCCUGUGUCACCCGGAAACUUUAGCUUGGGUUGUGGCUUUUUGGUUGGUUUGCCUCUUUGUCAAAUGCAUCCAUCAUCAAUGUUUAUGCCCAUGAAUUAUGAAGUAAGGAACCAUACACGUAUACAGUGAUUAAAGGUGUACUUAAACCUUUAGCAUCCUCAGCGUAAGGGAGGAGAGGAUGUUUGGACAGCACCCUACCCUCGACUGAAAAUCCUCUGGGGACAGCUACCUUUUGUACCAUCCUUUCCUUGCACCCAAAUGUAACUGUAAAUCAGUCUAAGAAUCCUAAAUUCUCAGAAAAUUAUGAAAAUAAUUACUUUUCUUCUCUUCUUUAAAUUCAUUAUAAGUUGCACAGCAAUUGUAGGCGUAUAGCAAUGGAGAACCAGUCAGUGGACAAGUCCUCUUUUAGCUGAAUUACAAGUGGCCAGAUCAUUUCAGCUUUCCCAUCUACUAAAGCCUUAUACCAAAAGCAGCACAAGAUAUAGAAGAAGCAUGCCCACGUUUACAAACAAACUCCUUUCAACUUUCCAUAACAGAAGGGCCUGUCGGAAGACUAUUCAAAAGAGGCAUAAUUACCAAGAACCAAGCAAUGACUGCCCUGCUCUACUAUGUAAAUGCUGAUAUAAACACUAAAGGCAUUAAGUAGUACCUGUAAAAGAAAUCAUUUUCAUUUUUCUUUUUACAUUUAUUUCAAAGGUAAACUUGAAAAAAGAAAACAGUUUUGCCUGCCCCUGGAUUCAUUUGUUAAAAGUAUGAUCUCUAAUCUAUAUUGUUAAAGCCUGGAAGAAGGGACGUGAUGAAGCCGAAGACAAUCAUCUGGAUUUCCUUAACAAUUCCCCACCAGUGAUUACCACCAUUUCCUAAACCAGGGUCUGCCGCAUUCUCAUUCUCAUUCUCAUUCUCAACCACCUGAUUACCAUCGUCUGCCGGCUGGUUCUCAUUCUCUGUUCCUUCUUGUCCCUCUGAUCAAGGAUACAACAAGGUAUAAUGGGCAUUUACUCUCAUAAUCAAAUAUUUUUGUAAAGUAUAGUCUAAAACAGUAUCUCUUCUAUCUUCUCUCAGCAUAACAGAAUCAACAAUGGUGAUGCUAUACAGCAAAAUUAAUUUGCGGUGCAAGUCGCAUAACUAGGCUAGCCAUUAGUUGCUAGAUUGCAUAUCUAUCUACGAAGGUUAGUUAGGGUUCAACUUUGUUCUUCAUUGUUUCAUUUGUUUUCACUCUGGCUUAAAUACAAAGUAAGGCCCUAUACUUACUUAUUAUGAGCCCUUAACCUUUUGUUGCAAUCAAUUGACACCUUAAUCAAUUAUUUAGAAUCAAUUAAGCCCUCAUUUGAAUGGAAAUUUUAACAUUGUUAACUCUUUUUGCCACCUGGGAUAGAAUUGCCAUGCAGUACAAAUGAAGUGGACUAAAUAUUGCCACAUGGCAUUUUCUGGGCAUGUGUCAAAAAUAAAUAUCUUUUUUAUUUUUUACACAUGCCUAAAAAAUGCCAUGGGGGAAUAAUUAUUCCAUGUCAUUUACAUGACAUGGCCAUUCUAACCUAGUUGGUAAAAAGAGUUAAUGUUAAAAUUUCCGUCCAAAUAAGAGAUCAAUUGAUUAUAAAUAAUUGAUUAGGGGCUCAAUUGGUUGCAAUAAAAGGACUCAUAUGACAGAUUUAAUUAAGUGUACAGGCUCAGUUGUAUUUUAGUUAUCACUUUCUUCCUUUUGUCAAAUACACAUCAAAUUAGCUCUUUCUAAUUCAAAAGUACAUAGCUUUCUGAGCUGAUGCAGGAUUCAAUAAAUCAAUUGGCUUGUAAUCACCAGCCACAACAAUGGAUAACUUGAUGGAACCUCAGCUUCGUUUUGGAAGUUAUCAUGCAAAAGAAAAUACUAAUCUUGUUUUUAUCAUAUAAAAUUUCAAGAUUUUAUUAUAUGGUAUAAUUUUUAGGUAAUAUAUUUUUUUGCAAGAUAUGCAUGAAUAAAUGCAACUAAUGAAGUUUAAUUCCCUAUACCUUGUUUAAACACCCAUAGGCUGAAAGGAUUUCAUUUCACACAAAAAUAAAUAAAACAAUACCUGCCAAAGCAGCAUUAUCAUUGCCCUGCCUUCCAGCAGCAGGAACAUUCUCUGCUCCGGCAGCAGGCCUAGGUAGAUGAGGAGGCGCAGCUGCCCUGUGCAUGCCUUGUGAAAGCCAUCUUACCAACGGUGUGAGAGCUCCAGUUUGGUAUCUGCAGAAAGCCAAUGUAUUAAUUCAACUUCCAAUGUUACACUGAAAAGUAUUGAGCAAAAAUAUAUAGAUAAAAGACAAUAGAAAUGACAUUAAAUUACUGAACAAAGUCAUUUGUCUGUGUUAGUAACUUAAAACAAAGACAAAAAAAAAAAAAUCAAACUGGAAGUAGAAAGGUAAAUGGAAAAGAGAACCACCAAUCAUCAGAGUUUUCCCCUCAUUAUUUGAAAAAGUUGCACCUUCCUCAUUUAACUGUCUAAUGCCAUUCGUGAAGCAUUGUUGGUGAUCCCAAUUACAGAAACCCCCCCUCCCCCAAAUAAAGGAUCACAAAUUAUUUUUUAUUUUAAAGCAACAAGUCAUACAUUCUCUACCGAAAAACCUCUCGGUGACCUAACACCAAAGACCAUCAAGCCAGCGAUCCAAGCAGCACAAAGAUGGUCAAAAACAGGAUUCUAGGAUUUGUACCUCAGCUUAGAUGAAAAGCAGGGAAAUACAGGCACGCUUCAACCCCGUGUAUUGGUGUCAUGUCCGUGUCCAACACAAACAUGCCUCGAAUAUGCUGGGAAACAUAUUGGACUUGGCCAGAUACAGCUAAAAAAUAAAAAUAAUAAUUUUUUAUUUGGAAAUGGCGAUCUGCACUAGAUUUUCCAAACAAAACCAAGAAAAAGAUGGAAAGACAUUGCCACUAGCAUAGCAUUGGUGGCUGGUGGCAUCACCUUGAAUUGAAAUUUUGAGAUCACAAAACAGAAAUAACAAAAAAUAAAGGAAGAAAAGUUCUGUUGUCUGUAUUGCAUCACUGGCUGACAAAAAAGAAGAAAAGAAAACUCUCCUGCAAUGCUGAAGCCUAAAGAAGAAGAAGAAGAAUAAGAAAAGUUAGGGCUUUCCUUUUAAUUAUAACUAGGGCUCGUAGAAGGAGCUAAUAGUCAGGCUCAUAUGUCGUUCCAAUUAGCCUUAGUCUAGCCAAAAAAGCAAAGGAUUUUCUCUUGGGCUCUUGCCUAACUAACAAUUAUAUGGGUUUGAGCCUUGAGACAAUUUAAAAUAUUUAAUUAUUUUUUAAUGGAAUAAAACUAUUUAAAAUCAACACUCAUAAUAAAAAAUUAGUUUCAUUGCUUAAAAGAUUUUGAAGAGAAGGAUUUUUAUAAGAAAAAGUAAAAAUGAAAAUAAUUUAUAUAUGGUAUUAAAUUAAUUAAAAUAUAUUUAUAUAAAUUUAAUAUUUUUAUUGCCGUAUCCUUGCCAUGUCAUGCCUAAUGUUUCAGAUAAUGCCAUGCCACUGUGUCCGUAUCAUGUCAUACCCGUAUCCCGUGUUCAUGUCAGUGCUUCAUAGGUGAGGAGAAUAAAUUAAAUGUAAACCGGGAUCUGAGUUAGGGAUUUCACAGCAUUCUUGCAUCUGAUAUGACCCAAGAUUGCCAAUAUUGUCUUUUGCCUUCAGUUCAAUAAGGCGGGUUCUUUAGCUGCAGAGGGCUAGAGAGUCAGGGACUCGGGUGGAUUUUGCAUUAUCGUAUUUGUGAUUUCGGUUUUCUUGAGGGAUAAACAGAUUUAAGUACUCAAUGGCCAAAAGAAAAAGGUUAGGUAUUCAGCUUCUAACAGAAAAGAAUGUGGAGAGAGAGAGAGAGAGAGUUAAAGCAGGCUUCAACUCAUGAAAGAAGUAUAAAGAGUGGAAAUAUGCAGAGCAACAAGAAAGAAGAGAUGAAGGAUGAGACAGUAGAGAGAGCAGUGUAGAAACUAGUGUAUCUUCCACUACUUAUGCAUCCAAACAAUCAACUAAAAGAAAAUGAUCUAAGAAAAAACAGUUAGAUCCCCAUCUUCCAGAACUUGUACAUCCAAAUAAUCUGGUAAACGGCAGUUCUGAUGCAAAGAACUAGUGUCAAAUUUAAAAGCAAUCAGAAGUUCAGAUACUUACAAAUAGACAAGUAAAGCAAAGAACACAAGGACAGCCAGUCUCUGUCUUGAUCCAUCUUGGUUGAACAAAAAUAUCACGGCUGCUAGCUUAAGUAUAAGCAACAAAUCCAGCUGAAAUGCAAUUUGGAAUCUUCUUACAACAACUUGUCUCUGAGGUCCUCCCUGCUGCUGUUGACGUUGCGGUUGUUGUGCUCCUUGCCCUUGUUCAUCAACUGCUGCCCCUGCCUCCGCAGCAGGCCGACUAUUAAUGGAAAACAUGCAACGCAGUAAGAUAAACAGCAGUUUGUAACAAUUUAAUGUUACCUAUAAUCCAUUUCACCAGAAAGAUAUGCAUCAUUGUUGCAAUCCUCCUAACUCAAAGCUCUAAAGUAUAAAGUGUUCACAUUUGUGUCAUUGCACUCUAACCAUAGCAAUCUCCUUCAUCAUACCUUGAGUUAAACUACCAAACCCACCAAUGUUUUUAAAGUAUAUUAAAAAAUAAUUUCCCAACACAGCAAGAUAGAAAAUUUUCUUCCUCUAUGAAUUUCUAAGUCUAAAAUCAAUGACAAAUCCAUCACUCAAAAUAAAAUACAGCUAGGGUAGUAAGAGGACUAACAUACAUUUUGGAACACCACAACUGUUCAGAUGACAAGUUUUAUGGUCUUUUAUCCACAACCAGAAAUUUUACAACUUUUCAGGAAUACAAGUGACAGGAAAUGAGACUAGUUUGACUAGAGCCAAACCAAAACAUAGCAAAGAAAAAAAUAAAAGUUUAAAAGCAACAAUAAUGACAGGAAAAACCAACAAGAUUAACCAUUUCAACAAGAUCAAUUACGAGAUCUUAGGUGCUUGACAAACUCAAAGAUUCAGAAAGCAUUUAGUGGAAGUGCCAUGUGGUACCACUUCACCAGGAACGGGUAAUUUAAUCACAAUGACCAUAGUAAUAGCAUCCAGUGUAGCAGUUUCAAACGGUCCAUUUGGUUAUUUAAACCAUAAUUUUACAAAAGCGGAAAUAACUGAAGAUGAAAAAAAGAAAAGAAAAGAACAAUUCAGAAACAGAACAACUGAAUUUCUUAGGUUAAUGGGGUUAAUUUGAAAAGCUGACAUAUUGUUCAAGGUCUAAACACACCAACUUGAUGAACAACUCUUAUACCAAAAUUUUAUGAAACAAUAUGUGGCUUAGCCUCGCAGUUGUUACCCCUCCUUAGACAGGUAAGAUCUAAGGUUCAAAUGCACCUUUCCCCCCCUAGGACUUCCUCAUAUGUACCAACCCCCCCUCCCCCCCCAACACAGAGACAGGAAAAAAAAGUGAAAUUGGAGGAAGAAAUGAAAGUCCGUUAAAAGUUAAAAUCAUUUCAAAAUUUCGGGAAAAAAAAUUAGGAAAUACACAUUUUUCAGCAAAAGUAGCCAAAAACAUAAGUUGAAAACUGCAUGCAGACACAAGAUAGCAUAUCUAUUUUUGCAAGUUAACAAAUUCCGUCUCUUUGUAAAAUGGCAGAAAUCCCCCUCCCAAAAAUUGAAUGUAUACCUAUUUUUUUCUUUAACGAAAAAAAAAAGAAAAAGCCUGCUUGCAAGAUACAAUCAAACCAAAAGUAGGGAAGUAAAAGAUAUAGAAAAUAAUGAAAUAAUGCUGAUUAGUGGUACCUCAGAAGUUUGUGAUCGGUGCUGAUUAGUGGUGACAAGAAGAAAAGGAAAUAACCAGUUUAUAGUGGCAGGAAAAAGAGGGUUACCAGAUUGCAAUUAUGAAUCUAUGGAAGAGCAAAGACACAAGAAAAUAUGAAUCCAAAAAGACUUACAAUAUUUGCCUAAACUGAAUUAUAAACAAGUAUAUUGUUCCAUACAUAGAUUAAUUUGGCUGGUUUGUGCAAGGAACCUUUUUAAAAAAAUAACCAAUCAAGAUUACUGCCAUUUCAAAUUCAUUUUUCAUACUCGAUCAAAUGAACUGAAGACCAAACUUUGGUUCUAGAAAUUGAUUGGUUAAUUAAAUUAUUUAACAUAUCACCUACCAACACUCUCAGCUACUAAAAUGGCAUGACAAGUGAUUAUUUAACUAAGGGCAUCUUCAUCUAAUAGUAGGCAGAUGAAAUACACUAUUUUACAAAACCACAGAUUUACUUACGUAGGUAUAUUAUAGGUGAGAGGAAUGAGAGUAUUAGACGGAAGUCCAGCAAUAUGCCCCAUAAAGGGUAGAACGGGCACAGCAUAAAUGCCUGCUCCACGGUUUGUCUGUUCCUGAUUUUGUAAUGAAGUUAAACCUGGGAUAAUUGCAGGAUACAUAACUGGAAACAUCUGCAAAUCACCAUUUUGAAAAGCUGCGAGACCAGAAUAUCCUGGAACCUGCAACAAAAAAGCCAUAAAGAAACUGAGAAUGAAGAAAAGGAAUUGCCAACAGAAAAGACUAGUCAAGAAUAAUAAUUACAGAACGCUCAUCCGCACACACAAAAAAAACUCUUACUCUGUUUCCAAAAUACCAAUUUUUUUUUUAAAAGAAAGAAAUAAAGUUUUCUACAGACUACUUAAAACUGAUUUUUAGUAGUCACCAAAUCACCAAAUAGGACAACACAUGGAACAAGCUGAAUUUAGUGUAAAUUCAAUUGUCAAAUUUAGACACUUCUGUCAUUUAGCAGGAAAUUAUUUGGGGAAGAAAGACUUUCUAAAUUAUGUGAUGAAUGAAAUAUCUCUUAAGACAUAAAAGAUCUAAACGCUCAAGCAUCCUAUUUAGCUAUUAGAUGACUGCAAUGCACAAAAUGGUACAUCUCUUCAGUUGAAAACCUUUACCACUGCAAGGUGCCAUUUAUCAAGCACUUCCUAACACCAAUGAUGGCAAAAUUCCAGUUAUCUCAAAAUUGAUCAUAACCGCCCACAUAACCCAUAGGCAGCAUGACCCAUAAUAAAAAGGUAUGUACAUAUGCUUCCCUAUUUUAACAUGAAAUAAGCCAGGCAGAAAUCAACUAAUCCUUGUACAAUUCCAGUAUUCAGUUUGUUCCCCAAAGACAUAACAAAACGAAUGCUUGAUCCAAGUUCACUAAGCACUGUGUUUUCCCCAGCCAUAACAAAAUGAAGGCUGUUUUUACAACUACUUUGAAUCCAAAAGCUAAAGACAAAAAAUAAAAAGUAAAAUAUACUGGGAAAGAGAGCAGAAAAAAAAGCUUCAGCUCAAAUAGGUAGAACAAAAAGAAUAAAUAACAAGAUACCCAAGAAAGUAGGCUUAGAAAGUGGGUUUUAUAAAUCUAAGAUUAUGCAUUUCAGUAAGCAGUACUGCAAUAAUAGAAGUAGGAAAUUUUUGCUGCUGACGGCCAAGCAAAUGAAGGAAUGUAUUUCCCUAGUAGCAUAGAUAAGAGGCAUAGAAUUCCAAGCAAAGAAGACAGCAAACCAUCUUUCUUUCUUUCGUUUCUUUAAGUAAUUAAUGCUACACUUCAUAAUAGGCGUGAAGAACUUUGCUGAAAGUUCAAGAGAAAACAUAUAACAGAUUCGCUUGGUUUUCAAAAGUUCACCACUAAACUUGUAUUAACACAUUAGAGUGGAAACAAGGUUUAUAGCUGGUUUAGCUAAUAAUAUAGUCCCCCCAAUCAAUUGCCUCAUAAGCAGUAAAUUCCACUGCUAUAAGUCCAAUGAAAUUUAGGGUAAAUCCUUUAGCAUUUGAAACUAAGCCUGGUAUCUCCAUCCCCUUCACCUCCUUUUCCUUUUCUUGUAACGUAUAGCAUCCCCCAAAAGAGCUUCUAAAUCAUUCUUUACCCAUCUAUCAAACUCAUAUCCACAUAAUGAUCUACACAGAACUCCACAAAUACAUAAAGAGAAGUAUAUGUUCAUCUUCAUCUGUGAAAAAGACAAGCAACUCUCAGGAUAAAAAAGAACAAUUCCAUUUUGAAAAGGAUGAACCUUUUAGUAAUCAAUCAGCUACUGUCACAAUAUUUAUGGAAAAGAAAAAGAAAUGCCAGGCAAAAGACUGAUCUAAUUUGGAAAAUCUAAAUAUUUUCAGUAAUAAUAAAAAUCAAAGUUAUUGGAUUUUAAAAAAGUGUACUUGACUCUAAUUUAUGACAUCAUCAGCCAAUAAUUUGCCAAGACAUAUAGCUCAAACUCAGAUCUAAAAAUUCCUACAUAUUAAAUAAUUUAAACCCAUCAUUUUAUAUCCACUAAAACGCAAAACCCAUUAUUCAUCUUGCCUAAAAUAAUAAAUAAAUAAAUAAAUAAGACUAAUGGUCCAAAGAAACAACACAAGAAAAAAAAAUUAUGCUAAUACAUGCUCAGUAAAAUUCAACCCCAGAAGACAGAAAGUGCUCUCAGGUAACAGAAAAAAAAAAUUGAACGAAAAUUUAUUCUCAAUCUCACAAAAAAAUAAACAUAAAAAAGUGCAAGUACGAAUUAAAAAGCUAUCGAAUCGUAUGGAAAAAUAAUUGAAAAAAAUAUAUAUAUGAAUUGAAUGGGAAAACCUGGGAUUUUUUUCCACUGUCGGGGGAGGAACUCGGUUGUGAGGUAGACGACGGUGCUUCGGAUUCUUCAGCCAUUACAGAGAAGAACUUGGAUCCACUUCUACUAUUCCAAAAUUCAAGUAGUAAUAUUUUGUUGGAGCAAUGGAAUUUUUUUUUUUCCUUUUUCUUUUAGAAUGAAUGAAUUUGGCUUUGGCUUUCGUUUUUAAAAUUUUUAUUGACUUUAUUACGUGGAUUUUGUGCUGGUUUUUCCAAUAGCAACAUGCCACGACUUUUGUAAUUUUUUGUAGCCACCAUGGCCAUAAUUACCACCGGCUAAGAGGGUAAAACGCUCACGGGUGCUCCCUUGCUAAUCCAAUAUGAAUGUCAUUAGAGAGUAAUUUGGGAAUCUCCAACUUUAAAAGAAUUUAUCAAAAUUUUUUAUUUUAAAGUAGAAAAUUGUCAAAUUUUGCCAUGCUUUAGGAAUUUUUAGUAGAAGAAAAAAAUAUUUUUUAAGAACUACAAUUUCAAAAUUUAAUUUCGUAAAAUUGUAAAAAUAAAAUAAAAAAUGACUUUUAUAUUCCAUCAUAUAAUUAUGUUUAAAUUUUGUAAUUUCACCCUAUCCUAAAUUUUGUUGUAUCAUAUUUUUUUACGCUUUGUUAUUUACUUUUAUUCUAUAACAAAGUAAGAGAUAUGAAAAAUUAAAAAAAAAUAGAAAAGUGAAGAAGUUUUGACAUACUUCUUUACUUUCAAGUCAAGAAGUUAUGUUUAAAUAAAAAAAUUAUAAGUAAUAUUUAUUACUAUAUAUCAAAGUAGCUCCCGAAGCUACUAUAUCAAUUGACUUCAAUUGGCCAAUUAUAACAAAUUUCAUUCAAUUGCGAGGCUUGGAGGGUUUUUUUUUUUUGUUUAUCAAAAUGACAAUUUUGUUUAUCAAAAUAAUGUCAUUUUGAUUGUAUUGGGUUUUUUUCCUACCGUUAUGUCUAAAAUGAUGUCAUUUUGCAUUUAGGGUUUUUGCUAGUAGGGAGAGAACGGCACCGUUUUUGUUUGUGGUGUUUCCUUUCCUUUGGUUUGUAUUUUUUUUGUCUCUUGAGUUGUUUUGUGGGUUUGCGGGAAAGUUGCCAUUUUGGUUCUACUAUUUUGCUUUCUUCCUUGGGUUUUCUUAAUGGAACGAUUGAUUUGUAGGGAAAAUGAAGAGAAUGGCUAUUGCUUGCUGAUUUAUCAAGACAUUUUGCUUUAAAGCUUUUAUUAAAUUAGUAAAACAUCAUACAAGUGCGCAUGAUUAACAAGUAAUAUAGUAGUGAGUGAGUUAUCGUCUCCUUAGGGAAUUAUAUCUAAAUUCUUGCUAAUUACUAACAUUAAGCAAUCUAAUCUUAUCCAAAAAAAUCUAGUUUGGAAAUUAAUUGAAAAUGAAAAUUAAAAUAGCAAGGCUAAACUAGUGAACUAAGCUAAAAAAAUGCAAGUAAAUUGAGUUAGAAAAUAGUUGGGAAGUACCUAAGAUUAUUGUUUCAAUUAAUGCUUUAUUUAGACUUAAGAUUGACUAAUUACCUAUUUUUAUGGAAAACUAAUGCUAGCUUAGGAUCCUUAAGCAUGUAUGAUUUUUAGUUGAGCUAUCGUACAAUGGUCCAACUUAAUUUAAUUCUCUAUAUGUCUAUAGCUAAUUAAUUAAGCUAAGUUCCUUAAGUAUAGGUCUUAUAAAUUGACUGUAUAUGGUUAAUAUAGGUAUAUGUCUACCUUAUUAACAAAUCACCAAACUAAUUCCUAAUUGCAAUGAUCAUAUGCUACCCAAUCUAUGAUCUUUUUAGACUAACUUUGUCGAGUAUUAUCUAAAAACUCAUGCACAUCCUAUUGGUGAUCAGUUAAUAAAAUGGGAAAUAAGUGCAUAUUUGAAUAAACACUAAAUAUUCCAUAAAAUCAAGUAAUAGUCAAUCAAGUAUCCAAACUAUAUAGUAAUAUCCACCAUAAUCCUAGAAAAGAAAGUUUAGCUUAACAUUUCAAUAGCCCAUAAUAAAAUUUUAGCAAAACUAAGCAUUUAUACAACGAGCUUUAGAGCGAGAAAAAUAAAGCUAUUGAGACAAAACUCUUUUAGUGCAACUUUGCCAAGCUUUUCUUCAAGAUUUUUCCUCUUUUUUUCUCUUUGUGGAAAGCUCAUUUUUGCCUCUGAAGUUAGUCCUCAAGAUGCUACUCUUCAACCCUAAAAAAUUAGUGUAUUUGUACCACUUUUGAUGGCCAUUUGAUGUAAAAUCGAAUGGCCAAAAAUGUGCAGAAUUAAGUGUUGGCACUUAGGCACGCAAAGUUCUGUUUUGUGGCUUGUUUUAACAUGCUAGAUGGUGCAUUCGGCACCGAGGCUCCGAGAGGUGGGCAGUUAGGCACCCAAGCUUCUGUCAAUAUUGACUGCAGUCUGUUACAGUCAGUCAACUUCCUUUACAUUUUUUACCACGAUCCCUUCCGAAUUGGGUGAAAUGCUACAUCAAAGUUGUAGCUUUUCCUUUUAACUUUUCGUAGUUCUACGAAUAGUGUUGAUUGGAGUUCUGCAGCUCGAGUUAUGUUUAAAACAUUACAGCAUAUGCGAAGGCCUUUCUUAAGCUACUUGCACCAUCUUUUGCCAUUUGAGUUCCAAGUCCUUACACAUCCUUCAAUAUCAGAAAAUCUAUUUAUUAGAGGCUGAAAUGAGGGAUUUUAACAAGAAAUUCAUUGAAAUUGCAUAAAUGAUAAAUGCCACGACAUAAACUAAGUUACUACUAUUAAGCAUAAAAUUACCUAUGAAUUACUUAAAACUAGAGGACUUAGCUCAAUUUUAGAUUCCAAAGAUACAUAAGAUAACUCUAUAUAAUAGAGUUAUGAAUGGUGAAAGAGAUGAGAGAUUAAUUUUUGGACAAAUGGUAAAAAGAUUUUGAUAUUUUUAGUGUAAGUGGGAUGAAUAGUUGUUUAUACUGAAGAAGAACGAAGACUUUCGUUUAAGGGAAGAGAAGGAAGGGUUGGAGGAGAAGAUGUGUGAUUGUAAGGGGUUGGGUGGUUGGGUUGCUAAGAGAGGUGUGUGGUUAGGUUGGGUUUUGAAAAGGAGAAAACUACGUCGUUUUGACGUGGAAAAAUGUGAGAAAAAAAAAAAGAGGGAUGCAUGGGUUCCUUCUCGAUAAAUAUAUUACUUUUUGGUUUGUUUAUUAUGGGUAUUCCGAUGUAGGGGAGCUUAUUGUCCGAUUAUUUACCUUGCUUAGCAUAUGUUUGGUAGUUACUGUUGUUCUCUCACUAAGGGAACAAAAUGUUCCUAUUGAGCAGCUAUUUGUGUAUUUCGUUUUUUUUGUUCAUCGGUUUAGCAAGUUGUGAUCUUUUUUUAUGAUUAUUGUUUUUGGUUUCAUUCUGUUGCUUUUGUUCUAUUGUGGUUCAAUAUUCGUUCUUAUUUUUUUAUUCAUUGAUUCAUGAUCUUUUGAUCUCUACAAGCUAUAUUGUUUGGGUUUUUUUUUUUAAAUUUUGGCACUCUAUUCUAUUUUUACAAUUAUAGUAAUGGUGAUGGUAUGUUUUGUUUAUUUGCUUUGAUUAAUUUUGUUUUUAUUGCUCUGGAUGUUGCAUAUUGAGCUUAUAUUGAUAUUUAUUGGUUUAGGGUUUUAGGUUUAUGAUUUGUAUGAUAUCAUAUUGAUAUUUUUACAGUUAUUCAAAUAGUAAUGGAAUGUUUUGUUUUUUUACUUUUAUUUAUUUUGUUUUUAUGUUUCUGUAUGUUAAUUAUCAAGUUUAUAUUGAUAUUUGUUGGUUUUGGGUUGUGGCUUUAUGAUUUGUAUGAUAUGAUUUGUUUAUGUACACAUAUGUUUUGCUUGGAUAUUUUUGUUUCUGGACGUUGGAUAUCAAGUUCAUGUUGAUAAUUAUUGGUUUAUUAUUUGUAUGAUAUAAUUUGUUCUGGGUUGGUUUUAUUCUAUAUAUGAGUAUUUCAAUGUUUAACAUAAGUUCGUUUUGUGUCUGACAAUUUUAAUGUCCUUUUUUAUUCUUAUAGUUUGUUUGAGCUACUAUUGAUGGUUACUAAGUUAUGUUCGUGAAUUAUUGAACUAUUUGCAGUUUGGUAUAGUUUGUGAGGUCUAAGUAUAAAGUGUUUAUUAGGUAUCAUUUUCUUUAGUUUGUUAUUGGUUGGUUAUCUAUAUACAGAUUUGUUUGGGAGAUUUUGCUUUAUUGUUUGCUUCAUUCAUGAUUUUGUUGCUCUAGAUAAGUGCACUUAAUAGAUUAGACUGUUUAAUAUUGUUACUUGAACAUUGUACAGUAGGAAAUAUAAUAUCUAUAACUACAUAUAAUAGUAUAUGCCGAAGCUACUAUUUUAAUUGGCUUCAAUUUGAAUAUUAAUGGUUUUUUUUCAUGACAGGAUUAGUGUUUUAUGAAUUUGUGUUAUAUAAAUGAUGUUUUACAUGGUUAACAGAUGUAAUAAGUAUAUAAUUUUUCCUUCUAAUUUAUGCAUACUGUAUAUUAUGUAGAUACAAUGUCAAAUGAAGGUAUAAGAAAAAGAACAAGAUAUGAACAAAUUAUUCAGUCUUGAAAUUAUAAUUGUGGUUUUUCUAAUCAGGUUUAUGCUGUUUCUUUUGUUGAUUACCAAUCUUUAUUGUUCAGUAUGGAGAAAUGUCUUGUACUAACAAACAUUGAUGUCAUUGAAAGUAUUAGUAGUGCAACUAUUCAUGAUGAUUCAGACAAUGAAAGUUCAAUUUGUUAUGAGUACACUGCUAGAGAAUAUGAUUUUGAUUUUGAAAAUCUAUAUGAUGUACCAAUUAUAGAUCAUUAGUUUGUCCAAAUUAUUAAUACAUAUAAUUUUGGUUCUGAAAGCCUUUAUGAAUUACCUAUUAUAGAUUGUUGGUUUAUACAAUCUAUUGCUUCAUCCAAUUAUAAGAAAGGAAGAGAUAAUAUUGAAAGUAAAUGUACAAUUCUAAAAAACCUUUGCCUAGAAUGUCUUUUUGUUUCAUAAUUAUUUAAGUAAUUUGCUUUAAAAACUUUGUCAACAAGGUAUGGUUUGAUUACCUACAUUUAAGCUUACACUAGAUUUCUUGCAUCAUUUAUUAGAUUAUCAGGGAGAUUAUAGAAGUAGUAAAUUUAGAAAGAAUAUUAGCAUUUACAAUUAUAUGUUUCAAUUUACAUUAAUUGGAGGAAAAAUAGAUAAUAGUAUAAAUAGUAAUCCAAGUCCAUAUAUCUUUAGAAUAAAUGGACUAAAUCACCAUCGAAUUAGUUCUUUACUUCCUACAAUAGGACAUAAACCUAAAUUUGCAUAACUUUACAUAUAUGAUACUAAGAAUGAAGUUUCGAAUAAAAUGUUUGUUUUUGGAGAUCAAAAUACCUGGAAUAUGAUAAAUAGAUUUGUAGUAAAAGGUUUAAUGAAAAUGCUUGAUGAAACUAAUGAAAUAACUAAAGUAUUUAGAACAGUAAGAGAUUGGUUUAAAGAAUCAACUAAUCUUCCAGUUCGGCUUAAAUUACUAAGAGCACGAAAUAAACAAAAGAGAAAUUAUUUAACCCCUACUAAAUUAGAGGUUGUUAAAUUAAUUGUUAGGGACAUAGGAGAAUCUGAUAGUCAUUGUGAUGUCAGUAUUAAACAUAGAAUUGACAGACUAAAGUGAAUAAGCAAGCUUCAUCUCUUUUGCAUGGCAAUGUAGUAUUCGUUGUUAUUUUCAUAUGGGGAAGAUAGUUACAUGUCAGAUAUCAACUAUGUUGAUUCUCCUAUCAAAUAGAGACCAAAAAGAAAUCACGUAAUAAUAAAAGAAUACUAUGCUUAUAUUAUUCAACGAUGUAAUCUAGCAGAAAGUACAUUAUUAAAAGGUGGUAGAUUGUUUCAGCAAUUUAUUUUUGAUGCAUUCUUUACUGUUGAAGAAAUGAGAUUACAAUUUAUAAAGGAUAAUAAAAAAAGCUUAAGGUCUAAGAUUUAUAAAGGUUUGAGAGUUGUUGUGUCAAGAGGUGAUGUACAAGGCAACGUAGUUGGGAAACAAGUAAUAUUUCUUGCAACCUUUAAUGGAAGCGCUCGUUAUCUGUUUUAGAAUUAUCAAAAUACGAUGGCAAUAUAUCGGUAUUAUGGUUUUCCAAAUUUAUUCAUCACAUUUGCUAGUAAUGCGAAGUGGUUAGAAAUGAUGAAGCUUUAUCUAUAGUUCUUGUUCAACGACUGCAAGAUAAGCUUAAUAUAGUUUUAAGAGCAUUUAAGUUAAAGCUUCGUUAUUUCAUGGAAGAUUUGAUUAGAUUAAAAGGAAACACUUGGAUUAGUAUUUGCAAGUAAAGUUUUUGAAUAUGUUCAACCUAUUGAAUUUACAUUUAAUUGUUAACUUUAAUAUUUACUUAUUAUUAUUCGUUACUAGCAAUUUUAUUCUACCAAGAACAUUUUGGAUCUUCAUCCACAAGUAAAAUUUUUAUAUUUGUUAAAGUUGGUAAUUGUGGAUUUAAUUGUAAUUUUAAUUUUAUAUUAUUAUAAUAAGUUAUUAACAAUUAUAUUAUAUUUUAUGUUAUGAUGUCUUACAGGUACAUAUACAAUUGAAUUCUAGAAAUGUAGGUUUUUGCAUGUUCAUAUACUGCUUUGGUUAGAUUCUGCUAUAAAAUGUUUGAAUGCCAAUGAUGUCAAUAUGAUAAUAUCAGCUAGGAUAUCAAAUAAAAAGUAUGAUCCAGUAGGAUAUGAAGUUGUCACAAAUUUUAUGAUACAUAAACCAUGUGGUGUUAUCAAUUUUUUUUCUCCAUACAUGGUUAAAGGUAAAUGUUCAAAUUUUUUUUCUGAAAUAGUAUCAAUUGGAAACAAUAGUUAAUAAGGAUGGGUUUGCUAUUUAUAGAACAAGACAUGUAACAAGUAAACUGUGUCUUGUUAUUAAAAAUGGUGUGGAAUUAGACAACAGGUUUGUUAUAGCUCAUAAUGUUGAUUUAGUUACGAAAUGUCAGGCUCAUGUUAAUGUCCAACUUAGCAAUCAAUCAAUAGCUAUCAAUUAUUUAUUCAAGUACAUUAACAAAGGACCAAAUGGAGCUAGAGCUAUAAUUGUGAAUAACAAUAUCAAUAAUAAUGCGAAAGAACAAAACAUUAGACAUGAUUUUGAUGAAAUUAAAAUGCAUUUGAACUGUAUAUAUUUAUCGACAUAUGAAUCUUAUUAAAGGAUUUUUGCAUUCGACAUUCAUUAUCAUGAACCAACAGUUGACAUAUUGGUUAUCCAUUUACCGGAAGAGUAAAAUGUAUCCUUUAAUGAUAAUGAUGAUUGGUCUAGAGUGAUUUAGAGAGUUAAUGUGAGGAAAACAAUGUUCAUAUAAUGGAUGUACAUGAACUAGUUCUAUGCAAAGCAAUAGAAUUGAUCUAUGCUGACUUCUCGAUGAAAUGGGUUUGGUCAAAGUUUGAGUCAACUUGGAAGAAACUAAAAAAAGGUAAGUCAAUAGGAAGAAUUACAUAUAUUCAUCCAAUAACAAGCGAACUUUAUUUUAUGAUAUUAUUAUUGAAUGUUAUGAGAGGUUCAAGAACUUUUGAAGAAAUAAGUACAAUUGAAGGUGUAGUAUACACUACAUUCCAAGCAGGAUGUCAAGCACUAGGUUUGCUUGGAGAUGAUCGAAAAUGGACAAAUGCAAUUUUGCAAGCUUCAGAGUAGGCAACAAGGGAACAAUUACAACAAUUGUUUGUCACGAUUAUUAUGUUCUAUGAAGUUACUAAUCCAUUGUCACUGUGGGAAAACAAUUGGAAAGUUCUCAGUGAAGACAUUAAGUAUAGAUUAAGGAAGGCUUUCAGUGUUACUCAUUAUCAAAUUCCAAACAGUGACCUCAAGAACUACACUUUGGUUGCUCUAAAGUAAUUUUUCAACAAAAAUUGUUGUUCACUUUCAGAGUUCAAUCUGUCGAUAUUGACAGUAGAUUUGAUGUAACAAUGUAGAAUAGAUUGAUUCAUAAAGAAAUCAACUACGAUUUUAGGGGAAUUGUAAUAGCAACAUUUACAGUGUUUAGUGAACCUUAACCCAAAACAACUACAGGUUUAUCAAGUUGUCAAACAAUUUGUUAAAAACAAUGAAGAUCUAAUGUUGUUUGUUUAUGGUCAUGGCAAUAUUGUCAUGACCCAAUCCAAGUGUUUGUGACCAACGCAUGAGUCCAACAGGUGAAGGCUGCGAGACCCAAGCAAGGCUUAGAGUUCAGAACCAAACAUACAUAUCCAAGGGUUUUCCAAAUUCCAUAAUUUCAUAUAAUAUUUAAAUUUAAAUACAUUGAACUUGCCCUUUGGCAUGUAAUCCAUACAUAAUAUUCAUAAGCCCAUACAUUGACCAUCAAAUCGGGUUCAUACUUAACAACCUUUACACAAGUUCAAAUGGCACAAUGUGUCUACAUACACAUAAAACUAAACCAAAUGCAAAGCGGAACCUCAUGACAAACUCAAAAGAGUGGAUGUGUCGAGUAGGGACUUACCAGAUGCCACAAUUUGUUUGUUACUAGAUGACCCUUACCACAUAGUCUUGUGCCCUGUUUGUAUGCACAUGGUACAAAUAAUAGGUGAGUCAUCUAAUACUCAAUGAGGGGUGUAAAUAAAAUAAACAUACAUAUAUAAACAUAUGUAAAUAUUGCAUUAUCAGUGCAGUCGAAUAGUCUACACAUAUCUCCAAUACUACGGGCAUAUCAAUCAUCCCUAGAAGUCUCCAUAAAUGGUAUAUUGCUAGGUUUAUUUCCAAAACUGUAUCAUUGUGAAUAUCCAUUGGCACACGCUAGUUACCAAUGUAUCAUAUCAAUUUCAAAUCAUAUUUAUCUAGCUUAUCCAAAGCUAUGUCAUAUCUCUCACAAAUUAGAUCACAAUCAUAAAGUGGUCAUUCCCUGGACAUCAUCAAAUCAUGCACGAUGGCUAAUCAAAGAAGUCAAAUAUUACUCAGAGCCAGCCACUAGUGGAGAGACAAAUCAUACACAUGACGAAGCAACAGACAAAGAAUCAAAAUCAUCAUCCGGAGUAAUCUCCCAAUGGAUGACAUCACUCAGAGUAUUCUCAAAUGAGUAGAAUCAAAGCAUUGCAAGUGGGAAUCAUAGGUAAGACUAAUAUCACCAUCCUUACUUGCCACCAUCCCUGCAAGCACACAUAUAGUCACACGGUGUUAGACUCCGAUCAAUCCUUAAAUCAAAUCAACAUCCAGACUUCAUCCAUCGGAUGGAAUGUAAAACCUCAAAUUUAGACCAUCAUGCCUUGGUAUCACAUUGACCAUAAUUUACAUCAGAGAUCACUCUUAAUGAACUUCAAACAUUUCUAGCUCAAUGUCCCAUCAAGGGGCCUUUAAUUCUCUAAGGUAUCGAAUUCUCAUAAUUCAUCAAGGGUUAAUUGCAUAGGGUAAUUUACUCUUAGACGUUCAUUAUAUUCUUUAGAGUUCUUAGUCUAAGCUCACACAACAUAGUGUAGACACUAAAUCAUAAACGAAAAAUAAAUAAAAAUGAUAAAAAUUAAAAUAAAGAAGAAAUGAAAAAAGAGGGGAGUGAGGUACAACUGGCAGGGUGCGCAAGCACCUCCUUCACCUUGCCAGACGCGAAAAAUUCGCGUCUGGCAAGGUAGUGGAGCGUGCCCCCUCCAGAGCCCAAGAAUCGGGUAUAAAGGAGGGGACACUGUAGCAUCCCAGGGGGGAGAAAAAAAGAUCUGCACAUGAAAAAAAUUUUCCAGAUUUCCAGCAAAAGGGAGAAGCCACAAACAAAAAAAAAUGGAAAGAAAGAAAGAGGGCAGGGGGCUUUUUCUUAGUGCCGCCGGUUUGGGUGAGUGAGGAAGGGGGAGAUCUUGGGUGAGAGAGCAAAAAGAGAUCUUGGGUGAGAGAGCAAAAAAGGAUCUUGGGUGAGAAAGCAAAAAAGAAACGGGUGGAGAGAAAGAGAAGUAGCUGGGCACUAGAGAGAGAAAGGGGAGGAAAAAGUGAAGAAAUGAUAAAAAAUAAUGGGGUUUCUUAAAGUGUAUUAUAGGUAGACCUCCCAUUUCCCACCCCAAAUGGCAUAUUUUGGAAGAAUAAAAUUUGCUGGCUUGAUUGGAGUGGGCUGUAGAUUUGGAGGAGCUUAGAAAGGUAAAAUAUUUAUCAUUUCUCUUAAAUUUUUAUGGCUUGAGUUGGUUCAUUUUAUUUAUUUGUAGGACUAUUGUUUAAUCAUUUAAGAUUAAUACUUCAAUGUAAUGUUCUAAAAUCCUUAGGUUUUAUUUUUGAGAUUUAAGAAAGUAAUACAAAUAAAGGGAUAUAUAAAUAUAAANNNNNNNNNNNNNNNNNNNNNNNNNNNNNNNNNNNNNNNNNNNNNNNNNNNNNNNNNNNNNNNNNNNNNNNNNNNNNNNNNNNNNNNNNNNNNNNNNNNNNNNNNNNNNNNNNNNNNNNNNNNNNNNNNNNNNNNNNNNNNNNNNNNNNNNNNNNNNNNNNNNNNNNNNNNNNNNNNNNNNNNNNNNNNNNNNNNNNNNNNNNNNNNNNNNNNNNNNNNNNNNNNNNNNNNNNNNNNNNNNNNNNNNNNNNNNNNNNNNNNNNNNNNNNNNNNNNNNNNNNNNNNNNNNNNNNNNNNNNNNNNNNNNNNNNNNNNNNNNNNNNNNNNNNNNNNNNNNNNNNNNNNNNNNNNNNNNNNNNNNNNNNNNNNNNNNNNNNNNNNNNNNNNNNNNNNNNNNNNNNNNNNNNNNNNNNNNNNNNNNNNNNNNNNNNNNNNNNNNNNNNNNNNNNNNNNNNNNNNNNNNNNNNNNNNNNNNNNNNNNNNNNNNNNNNNNNNNNNNNNNNNNNNNNNNNNNNNNNNNNNNNNNNNNNNNNNNNNNNNNNNNNNNNNNNNNNNNNNNNNNNNNNNNNNNNNNNNNNNNNNNNNNNNNNNNNNNNNNNNNNNNNNNNNNNNNNNNNNNNNNNNNNNNNNNNNNNNNNNNNNNNNNNNNNNNNNNNNNNNNNNNNNNNNNNNNNNNNNNNNNNNNNNNNNNNNNNNNNNNNNNNNNNNNNNNNNNNNNNNNNNNNNNNNNNNNNNNNNNNNNNNNNNNNNNNNNNNNNNNNNNNNNNNNNNNNNNNNNNNNNNNNNNNNNNNNNNNNNNNNNNNNNNNNNNNNNNNNNNNNNNNNNNNNNNNNNNNNNNNNNNNNNNNNNNNNNNNNNNNNNNNNNNNNNNNNNNNNNNNNNNNNNNNNNNNNNNNNNNNNNNNNNNNNNNNNNNNNNNNNNNNNNNNNNNNNNNNNNNNNNNNNNNNNNNNNNNNNNNNNNNNNNNNNNNNNNNNNNNNNNNNNNNNNNNNNNNNNNNNNNNNNNNNNNNNNNNNNNNNNNNNNNNNNNNNNNNNNNNNNNNNNNNNNNNNNNNNNNNNNNNNNNNCCGAUCUGGAAUUAUUCGUCGAAUUUGCGAAAAGGCGAGUUUCUCGGAUAAUUCCUUAGGUGAGAGAAUAUCCCGAGUCCCACCAGUAUGAUGGGCGGAUUCGGAAAAUAUCCUCGAUAAAAAGGUUAUUCGUCCGGCAUUUUUAUCUCACGCCAUGCAUUUCAUCUCGCCACCCAUUUGCAUUCCAUUUCAGGUUAAAUAGGAGAUAAAAUAAAAAAUAAUAAUUAAGGAAAUCUAGUGAAAUUAAAAAUUAAAGCCCAAUAGGAUAAUAAAAAAAAUGGUACCGUUCAUGAAACGGGCGUCCGAGGGGUGCUAAUCCUUCCCCGGGCGUAACCGUACUCCCGAACCUAGAUCCAGAAAAUUGUAGACCGGUUUAAGGUUUUUUUCGGUGGGCUUAAAAUUAAUUUAAGUUUUCAUCAAUUAGAAUCGAGUCAAUAGGUAGCCAAUCACACCUAGUAAAAAAAAGAUUGGUGGCGACUCAUAAUUUUAACCUGGUUUUAGAGUUUUCACUCACGUCUAGCGGUCGGGUUCCCGGACCCGCACGUUACGACACAUAGGUCAUUAGGUGGCUUGCACUAAGGCACACAAUACAACAUAUAAUCACAUGCAUUUUGGUUCUCUAACCUAGGCUCAUUCAUUUAGGCAAUCAUAUACACAUAAUUUCUAUUCUAGUACCAUGGUAGCGCCUUUAUUAAGAAGUUAUGCAUCACAUGCAUUUUAAAUUAACCCACUCAUAAUAACAAUUGGAGGUGUGCCCACAACCAAGCUCUAAUUCUCAGCCUCCAACCGUCUUUCAGCUCACAAAUGAGUUGAUUAUCUCCAACUUCUCCUUAAACACAUUAAAACAUUACAAAAAUAUUUAUUUCCUAGCUUUUGAAAAUAUCCAACAUUUCAAAAAUAAAAAAUUCAAUAUAUAAGCUCAAUCCUUCAAAAACUGAGCUAAAUCUUAACUUUGUAUACUAUGUGGCUCAAAUCUUAGCUCUAAAUCCUCAACAAACUCAAGGAAGAAAAAUCUCACCAAAGCUCGACCAAAUUGAAUCUAAGUUAUUUGUCAAUUAAAUUGAAAAUUAAUAAGUUAAAAGGCAUAAUCUUACCUUAAUAACACUUUCUCAAGCUCUGUUUCGCUCCAAAUUUCUUUAAAGAUUAGCUUGAGAAGUUAAGGUUUCAGGGGUUUUAGAGAGAUAAAGUUUGGUUUUUGUUAAAAUGGCUCAAAUGGCUCGAAACCCCUUUUUAUAUUUACGUUUACGGGGUGAUCUAUUGAUAAAUGGGAGGCAUCUAUCGAUAGAUCCCUUUAAAAAUUUUAGGCAUUGACCUUUAUCUAUCGAUAGAUUCCUCGAAUCUAUUGAUAGAUUGUGCCGUAGCCCUCUUUCUACUUUUCCCCGUUUGGCCAUCAAUCGAUAGAUGAUUCUUACUUUAGUUUCCAUUAAUUUUGUAUAGCUAUUAUCUAUCAAUAGAUUCCACGAAUCUAUUGAUAGUUUCUGGGCCUCUUUGCUUUGCAAGGUUCUCGAGUGGUCAUCUAUCGAUAGUUAAAAAGAUCUGUUGAUAGAUAUUCAUCUAACUUGUCUUUCCAAAUCCUUCCAUCUUGCAUUUAUUGAUAGAUAUAGAACAUUUAUCAAUAGAUCAUACCCAGAUUUUUCAUUUUCACUUUCUUAAAGCCCCAAACUCAUUCUUAAGGCUUCCAAUUCAUUUUCUUUCCAUCAAAACACCUUAAAUCAUUCAUUUUACAUGAGAUCCUUCAUACAUGGACUCAAAUAAUGAUCAAAGUAUUAAACUUUAAGAUCCACCAAUUAUGUUCAUAAGAUUCUGUCUAAGUAUCAUUAGGCAUACUUUCUAUAUACUUAACAUAUUUAAUCUAUCAUUAAAUUCCUAAGGCACAAUAUAUUUCAUAAAUCAUUCUCAAUUUACUUAGUUCAUAUUGAAAAUCGGGAGUGUUACAAGUACAGGCAAAAGGUUUUUUUAGGACACGAUAAUCUCAAGAAUUAAAUGAACAUGAAAAGUUAUUUUUGUUGUUGCUUCAUCUAGAAUUGCAUUGUUAUUGUUACCUAGAAGGAGAACGACAAAUUCCAUAUUCAAAAUUUCUUUAAACAUUGACGAAUGCUCGACAUGUGAAAUAAAACGAGGUACACAGCUUGCUGGUUUAAUUCAAAAUUCUAAUCUUAUUGUUUAGGAUGAAGCUCUUAUGAUACAUAGGUAUUGUUUUGAAGUUUUGGAUAAAACCUUACAAGAUAUACUUACUGAUCAUGGUUGUGAAACUAUGGAGACGCUUUUUGGUGGGAAAACAAUACUGUUAUGAGGAGAUUUCUAAAAAAUUUUACCUGUUGUGGAGUUUGGAACAAAGUUAAAAAUUCUCAAUGCAAUCUAUAAGUCAAUCAAUGCUAUGGAAAUAUUGCCACAUCUAUCAAUUGACAACAAACAUGAGACUUUUACAAUCUCAUGUCGAUGAACAGACCAGGUUUUAAAUUUCAACUUUUACUCAGUGGUUGUAGAUGUAGAAGAUGGUAAAAUUAGAACUACUAGCUACAAUCCUAAACAGGAAUUAUGUUGGAUUCGAAUACCAAAAGUUUUGUUGGUAUCGUACACUGAAAAUCCAAUAUAGACUAUUGUGUUUGCUGUGUAUGAUAACCUUUACAACAAUUUUACAGAUUUAGAUUAUUUAAAACAAAGGUCAAUAAUCACUCAUUACUAUGAAAGUGUGGAUUUGAUAAACUUAUAACUUCUUGAUCUUCAUUCAUUAUAAUGAAAUUGUGGAUUUGAUAAACUCAUAACUUCUUUAUCUUAUUCUAGGUACAUUAAAGGCCUAUUAUAGCAUUAAUCAAAUAUCAAAAGAUUCAAAUUAUUCUACAGAACAUGAAUUGUUAUAUUCAAAAGAAUUCUUAAACUCGCUUAAUUUUCUUGAUAUUUCUAAUCAUAAACUCUAUUAGCUGUGAGUUAUAUUUUGUUUUGAUUUGACAAAAGUUACAUGAUAUCUUAGUUUUAAUGUCAAGCAUUUAAAAUUGUCUCAAUAAUGUUUUUCAUACCCUAAAAUCACACAUUUGUUUAAAAAGCAUGCAUGAUUAGAAAAUAUCACAAAAGCUUUGAAAUAAUGAAUCUUUAGCUGAGAAAAUGUAGAGCAAACAUGCCUUGAAUUAAUAUUUGAUUAUAGGAACAAGGCAAGGAAGAAAUAACUAAAAAGAGGGGCCAAAAAGUCAAGGAAUCUUGAAAACAUAAGUCAAGAGUCAACCUUAGAAAAACUCAAGUCGAUCCAAUAGUAGAAUGGUUGAAGAACAAAUAAAGAAUUGUGAAACAGAGAAGACAUAGUCGACCCUGAAGCAGAUUGUGUUAACUCCAUAUGUUUUCGAUGAUAACAAAACAUUCCUUAUUCAUUAAUGUCUAACUUUACUAUUUAAGUGUGCAGGAUAUAGUUUAAUUCCCCUAACAAAUUUGUUAAUUAAGGGCAAGUCAAGAUGCUUACUAAAUUUAAAGAUGAGUUAAUUAGUUAAAGUAAGGGAGAAUAAAAGGGCUAGUAAAAAUAGAAUCUCAUUAACUGAUUAAUGUGCCUUAACCAGUUAAGGCACAAUUGGGCAUUAGGUAAAAGCAAGACAAAAAAGCCUUAAUCGGUUAGCACCAACCUUAACUAACUAAUGAGGUGCUUGAGGUUGAAAAUAGAGUCAUGUUAAUCGAUUAAGGAGUUUGGUUAAUUGGUUAGAGCACAAGGCCUUAGUACUUUUAUGCACCAAAAUCAAAUUUGAAAUAAAGUUGACCGUUGAAUGGAGCUAAAAUGGAGAAAUUCAAAAUUCGAAGUUUAUCUAACGGAUUAAAGCUGAUUUUAAUUAGUUGAGAUUGAAGGAAGUGAAGCCUUAACCAAUUAAAGGAAGACUGCUGUAUACAGAAAAGUGAAGACAAAAGGUUAUAAUCAGUUAGAGCUCCCUCUAAUCAGUUAAUGCAGUGAACAAAGUUGCUAGACAAUGCAAGGCAAAGAAGGUGUAAUCAAUUAAAGCUUGUUCGUAACAGUUAACAAAACUUUAUUUGCCUAUUUGAAUUUAAACAUUAGAGGACAAAAUAACAGCUAGAAUGACAUCAGAGUUGUUCUUAAUGGCUAAAAACUGUCUUAAACAGCAAAAUCUAACUCCUCAAGUAUAAAUUGAAGCUACAAUGGUCAAAGAAGCGAGAGAGAUGUUACCAAGAGUGAUUUUGAGCUUUGAAAACCAAAAACCUUCUCUUUACAUUUGUAUUCCAUUCCUAUCUUUGUGAAAGUGUUUGUGCUAAAGCUUGUACAACUUAGAUUAAUUAAGUGAUCAUUUAUACCUCUUUUAUCUUCUAUUUCUUGUUUAUUUAAAGUGUGCGAGACACUUUGAAGGGUAGUCUAAGUUAAGGUAAGCUUAAGACUUAUUGUAAAAGGGUUAGAGCUUGGAUUAGAAGCUUACCUUGUAAAAGCUUGUGGAAGCUGAUAAUUUUACUAAUUUUAUUGAAGUUGGGUUAAAAAUCCUUGAUUGUGAAGAUCAAGGUAGUGGAUGUAGGUCAGGUGGAUUGAACCAUUAUAAAUAUUGUAUUUUGUCCACUUAUCUUAACCUUUCUUUACUUGGUGUUCACUAACCUUCACAAGUUCUCAACCAUCCAUUUUAACACUUCCAAACGGAUUUUAAAUUUCAAAAGCUACCCUAAAAAAUAUUUAAAUAGUAUAAUUCACCCUCAUUCUAGCACUCAUUUUGAGACCAACAGGUGGUAUUAGAAACCUAACCCUUUGAUUUAAGGCUUAACAUUCUUAGGGGAUACCCAAUGGCUGCAUAAAACAUAAAUGUGGCAGAAGGAUAAUCCACAAAUUGGCUUUCUCUAUUUGAUGGAUCGAACUUCUAAUAUUGAAGCACUAAAAUCUCAAUUUACAUUAGAGAUAGAUUAUGAGAUAUGGGAUGUUCUCACAAAUGGUCUUUAAACUCCCACUAGCGCAAAUCUGAUCACGGUGAGAAAAUGCUUAAAUCUAAGGAAGAGUGGACUGAGGCUAAAAUGAGAAAAGUCUAAAUAAAUUUCAAAGCCCUCAACACUAUUAAUUGUGCCUUACCUCUUGUUGAAUUCAAUAAAAUUUCUAGCUGUACCACAACCAAGGAAAUUUAGGAAAAGCUUAAGAUUAUUCAUGAGGGGACCUCUCAAGUUAAGGAGCCUAAAAUCACCUUUCUCACCCACAAUUGUGAAAUGUUCAAAAUAGAAUUUGGUGAAGACAUAACUUCAAUGUAUGACCGAUUCACCAACAUAGUCAAUAAGCUUUAUCAACUAGGAAAAGUCAUACCUGAACAUGAGCUAGUAAAAAAGCUUUUUAAAAGUCUACCAAAAAGCUGAAAGCCAAAAGUGAUAGCAAUUCAAAAAGCCAAAGAUCUUAAUGUCAUCACCCUAGAUGAGAUAUGUGGCUUACUCAUCACAUAUGAGCAAGAGAUGAAGGAAGAAGAUGGAGAGGAAAAGAAGGAAACAAAAGAAGAGAUAAAAGUAAAAGUCAACCUUUGUUUGAUGGCAAAAAAUGAAGACCUUGAGGUAAUUUCUAAUUUAUCUCAAAUCUCAUAUUAUGAAUUUCAAGAUGAGUAUGAUUGUUUAUAUGCUAAAUUUGAGAAAUUAACUAUAAAGUAUAAGGUUUUGAAAAAGAAAACUUUAUCUUUAGAAUAUGAAUUAAAAAAGAUUAAAUGUGAUUUCAAAUCUAUCAUUUAUCAAAGAAAUAUUUUUCAAAUUGAGUUAAAGCAUUCCAAAACAAAUUUUGAAUAUUUGAAGUUGGAUCUAGAGAAUAAAAAUGAGAUGUUGCAAUAGGCAUUAGAUGAGAAUGUUACUCUCAAAGCUUAAAUGGAAGAGAAUUCAAAAGAAAAAUUGAAAAAAGAAGAGAAACCAAAGAGAAAUGUUGUUUUGAGAAAGAAAAAUGAUAUCUUCAUUCCAUUGUUAUGCUUGUGAUAAUAAAAGUCAUCUCUCUUAUGAUUGUUAUCAUCGGGUAAUAACCUCCCUAAAACUAAAAUGGUUUACGUAGGUUUUGAUGUGCUUAUUAACCUCUAAGGACCAAUCAAAGUAUGGGUACUUUUGAAAAAGAAAUAAAAACAUGUUUUGUAGGUUGAGCAAGAGCAAAAGGAACAAUGUUUGAAAGCUCAACCAAAGUAGAAGUAGCCUUGGUACUUGGAUAGUGGCUAUUUAAAGCAUAUGACCAGAAAUAAAAAUUUAUUUAUCAAGCUUGAUAGAAAGACAAGUGGUAGUGUUUUUUUUGGUUACAACUCCGAAGCUAUCAGCCAAAGAAUUGCAACAAUUGAUAACACUUUUCAAACUAUAAUCAAGCAUGGUUUAUUUGUUGAAAGUCUAAAGAAAAACUUGUUAAGAAUUAGUCAACUUUGUGAUAGAGGAUUUAGAUUUUGCUCUAAUUGUCAUGUAUGCCAUGUGAUUGACAUUGACACUAACAAAGUUGUAUUCAUUGGCAUAAGAUUUGAAGAUUCUUAAGUGAUUUUUCUUGAUUAAAUUAAUACUCAAAAUAAAUUUUAUCUUGUGGCCAAUGAUGUGUAUGAUAAUUGGUUGUGGCACAGAAGAUUAGGACAUGCUAGCAUGGACACCUUUUCAGAGAUUUUAAGAAAAGAUUUGGAUAUUGAAUUAUCAAAGAUUUCUUUUUAAAAUGAUAAAGUUUGUGAUGCAUGUUAAUUUGGAAAACAAGUAAAAAGUUCUUUUAAAUCAAAGAAAGUGAUUUCAACUUCUAGACCAUUUGAACUAUUUCACAUUGAUUUGUUUGAAUUUAUUGAUGUCACUAGUUUGAGAGGCAAGUCAUAUGGCUUUAUUAUUGUUGAUGAUUAUUCUAGACAUAAUUAGGUAUACUUUUUUGCUCACAAAGAUGAUGCAUUACCUUCUCUUGUUAAACAUUGUAAGAAAGUACAUUUUUAAAUGGUUUUAUUCAAUAAGAAGUAUAUGUUGAGCAACCCCCUGGUUUUGAAGUUUUUGAAAAGAUUGAUCAUGUUUAUAAAUUGUAUAAAGCAUUACAUGGAUUUAAGCAAGCUACUAGAGCUUUGUGUGAAAAGCUUUCAAAAUUUUUUAUUAAAAGGGAUUUUCUAAGGGGAGUGUAGAUAGUACACUCUUUAUUAAGAAAAGCAAAAAUGAUUUACUUGUUAUUCAAAUAUAUGUGGAUGAUAUAGUUUUUAGUACUAUGAAUGAAGAAUUUUGUGAGAAUUUUACUAAGGAAAUCCAAGGAGAAUUUGAAAUGAGUAUGAUGGGAGAGUUAAAAUUCUUCCUUGGUUUACAAAUCAAGCAAUGUGAGAAUGGAAUAUUUAUCAACCAAGAGAAAUUUACAAAAAUAGUUUUAAAGAAAUUUAACGAGUUGAAUAUAAAAUCAAUUGGAACUCCUAUGAGUCAUUCCAUAAAGCUUGACAAAGAUGAUAAAGGAAAAGAUGUGGACCAAAAACUCUAUAAAGGUAUGAUUAAUUCACUUCUUUGCUUAACUGCAAGUAGACCUGAUAUUUUGUUUAGUAUUUGCCUAUGUGCAAGAUUCCAAUCAUGUCCCAAGGAAACACAUUUAACCGCAAUGAAGAGGAUUUUUAGAUAUCUCUUGGAUACUCAAGAUUUAUGCCUAUGGUAUCCAAAAAGAUCUUCUUUUAAUCUUCUGGACUAUUCUAAUGCCGAUUUUGCUGGCAGCAAAAUCGAUCAGAAAAGCACUAGUGGUACUUGUCAAAUCCUUGGAAACAUGCUUGUAUUGUGGUCUUCAAAGAAACAAAAUUCUAUUGCUCUAUCAAUUGUUGAAGCUGAAUAUAUCUCACUAGGUAGUUGUGCAUAAAUAUUAUCGAUUAGGCAACAACUAAAUGAUUUUGAAAUGGCUAUGCAUAAAGUUCCUACAUAUUGUGACAACAUGAGUGCCAUAAAUAUCUCCAAAAAUCCUGUCCAACAUUCAAGAACUAAGCACAUAGAAAUUAGACAUCAUUUCAUUAGAGAUCAUGUGCUUAAUGGAGAUAUUAAAAUAGAAUUUGUAGAUACCCUACAUCAACUAGCUGAUAUUAUCACAAAACCAUUAAAUGAAACCCAGUUUUGUAAAACUAGAGAGAAUUAGAAAUGCUAGAUUUUAAUGAAGCCGAACUAAGCUGAAUUGAAUAUGUUUUUGAUGAUAUACAACAUGAUGCUUGUGUUUAUCUCUUGGUUUAAUUGAUUAAGGAAUCCUUUAGUUAGUUAAAGAGAACAUAGAAGGUAAAUAAGACCUAUAUUAAUCAAUUAAGAACUCCCUUAAUCAAUUAGAGCAAUUAUGUGUAAAAAGGUUAAACUAAGUCAAUAAGGUAUUAAUCGAUUAAAAGCCCCUUUAACCAGUCAAAGCUGGCCUGUUACUACAAACAAAAAUACUCUAAUCAGUUAAGGCUCACUCUAAUCGAGUAGAGCACCUUACUCAAUGGAAAAACUGAUGCACAAAAAAAUUUCAACAAAAAAUAAAUAAAUAGUGGGAAGUACGGGAAACCUCCCACUUAAAAUAUGGGUUAACCAUUUAUUAAACCCUCUACCAAAGACUCUUCAGUUACUUAUAAAAAACCCACCCACCAAAAAUCAAAACCUCAAAAAAAUUCCAAACUCUCUAAAAUCCAACCAUUUCCUCCUUAACUCUCUGAAACCCGACAAACCCUAAAUCCAUUCCAUUAGAAAACCCAUAGCUAGAACUUCCUUCACACACAAGGUUUCUGACAAAGGAAAAGAGAAAAAGGUGGUUGAUGAUUCCCUUCCCAUUCUAUCGAAGAAAAAGAGAAAAAUCACUCAAGGUUCUUUAGUCGACAAAAAAAAAAGAAAGUCAAAGGAAAACGUAUGGGAAAAUAAAAGGGACUAUUGCAGCAGAGGUCUCCAUCUGAAACGUAAAACCUCAACCUCUCAAUUUAGAAGCAAGUGUCAUGUUGAUAGGUUUAAAAAGAUAGAAAAUGAAACUAUCUCUUGUAGGAAAUUUUUUGAUUGGCCAAGCUUUGAUGAAGUGUUUGUUAUUAAUGUUGGUCCUAAAUAAAUGUGUUAGAGGGGGGGUGAAUAACAUUUUUUGGUUUUUGACAAGAUGAGGAACUAAUUUAAAAGCAAUAAAAGUAAAAAUAGAGUAGACAAUGUGCAGGAAUUUAGAGUGGUUCGGUCCAAGACCUACAUCCACUACCUUGAUUAUUCAACCAAGGAUUUUUCAAAUUAAUCCACUAUGAACAGAUGAAAUUCACAAGCUUUCACCAAGCUUUACAAUGACUUUUACCAAGCUUAGCCAAAACCUUUCACAAUAGUUUUUACCGAGAUCAACUAAAACCCAACAUUUAACUUUUCAAGGCUAAGUUAGAACCUAUACUCAAUCAAGCAAUCCUCGCUUGAAUCAAUUACUUAGAGUGACUCGCUCACUCUAAAGAUACAAAGAGAAAAGUAAAAAGAGUGUACCUAUGAUCACAAGGUUGAUAUAAGUGGUACAAAUGAAGUGCAUAUCAUAAUUACAAUGGAUAGAAGUUGAGUGUAGUAAAUGAGCAGCAGGUGUUUUCUAGUUUUUUAGUUCUUUUGUGUGUUCUUGGAAGCCUUCAAUGCAUUUCUAGCCGUUGGAACCCUCUUUUAUACUUGAAAAAUCAGCUCUGAUGUGAGUUAGAUAGUUUUUUACUAUUGAGAACAGUUUGGUAGCAAUUCUGACCGUUAAUCUAUCUUCUAGUGCACAAUUCAAAAUUUCUAGCAGAAUGUUCUUAGUCAACUAGCCGAUAUCUUAGUCGACUAAGUCAUCUUUGUCUUCUGAUCCUAGUUUCUGGCAGUGUGCACUUAGUCGACUAACUCAUUCCUUGAUUGACUAAGUUGGUUCUGUUUUUCAAUACUCAUCAGCCCGUCAAUUUUUUAUUUAAAUCUUAACUGACUAACUCUUCAUUAAUCGACUAAAGGGCUUCUGUCUUGUUGAUCAAUUGUGGCUUCCUUAAUCUUAAGCUCUUUGAUAUGUGCAUUUGAAUGAUUGAUUAAUUGUUUGUAUACAAUUUUUGUCCUGCACACUCAAGUAGAAAUAUUAGACACAAAUGAAUAGAAAUAUUUUAUUAUCAUCAAAAACUAAUAUAGCCAAUAGUUAAGAGUGAUCUACUAAAAUAUUUUGAUGAAUUAAAGCUAAAAGAUAGAGUACCUUUGGAGAUAGGGCAUAUAAUCCCAGACUAAUUAAGGAAUUCUAUUCUAAUGUAGACUUGAAUAAGAAUAAAACUUGUUGUUUCCAAUCAAAACUUCUCCUACUUGUGUCCUUUGUGAAAUAUAUUAUGUGUGUUUCUGCAUUCAACAAAUGGAUGACUUAUCACACGAUGGUAAUCACAAUACCGUGGAUUGGACUUCUCUUCUACCAUUGGUGGUCUCGAUAUGUAAGGCAAAUUUAUUUAUCCAUCUGAAAUCCAUUCUUGAAAGAGCACCCUUACUCUGUCAAGAAGAAUUGAGAAUGAAGAAGGUGCAAUAAUCCUUCAUCUUGUCUUCUUUUGAAGUUGUCACGUCUUGGCUUCAGGUUUUCUUGAGGACCUCUUUUUUCUUUACUUCCUUCUUGGAUUGCAUUCCCAGUUGGCAUGUUCUUUCUAUUGAAAUGAUUAGCUCAUUUUUACCUAAGAACUGUAUUAUUGGUCCUUCAUGUAGCUUCAACUAAAGUGAUAAAAGUAAGAAGAGGUAAGUUUUCCAAAUGCACCUUAUAUUCAUCAAACAUACCUUGGAUCAGACUUUGACCAACUCUUUUUGAUCAAGAGAAUCUUGUAUAUCUAGUACAUGUUCCUUAAAUCAUCAGAUGUACUCCAUAAGAUCCUUUCUUGACUUCUGAUGUUCUUUUCCCAAAUCAAUAAGGGUCAUAUUCUCUUGGGUAGAGAAGAACUUUCCUCUAAACAUCCUAUACAUUUGGUUCCAACAAUUAACUUAAUGGGGAGUGAGAUUAACAUACCAAGUGUAAGCUUUCUUAGUGAAGGAUUUAGAGAACUCCUUUAACUUUAAGUAGUCGUCCAAGCUUAGGACUCCCAAAGUUUCUACAAAUUUUAUGACAUGCUCCCGAGCAUCAUCAGUCUUACCAUUAAAUUUUUUGAAUUUUGGACUGGUGUAAUCCCUGGGAUAUGGCUUAGCUACAAGCUUAGCAGGAUAGGGUAGUUUCAAGUCAUACUUUGAGAAGUUGAGAACUUAUUCUUUUGAUCGAACGGCUUCUCCAACUUUUCCUUUGUAACAAAGUUUUGAGCACUAGUUGAAAGAGUUACCAUAAUAGGAUUGCCUAUAAUAGAGGGAUUUGUGGUAUUGAGGACUGGGUCAAUCGUGCUCUCUCCAUUUCUCCAUUUCCAUUUGUAUUGUUGGCCACGUUCAUGACAUUUUCUAUUGGCAUAAGUAGAGGUUGAAAGGUUAUGGCAAUUGAUAAUACAAACUAGGUGAUGGUUUCCACCAUCCACUUGUUUUCCUUCAGCACUUGCAUCUUUUCCUAGGAAGCUUGGAGCAUUUUCAUAAGCUCUUAGACAUAUGGGACAGUUGUUUCUUGGUUGUCAAGAGAACUUUCCAUAUUUUUUGAUAAGACAUUUUUUGGAAACUUUUUCACUUAUUGCAAUCACUAAUCCUUAGUGGAGUCAUCAAAAUGUAAACGGCUCUUCUGGUAAGGAGAAAGGAUGUGUUGCAACGAAUGAAGCGAAAUGAAUUAAAGGAGGCGAAGAGGAAGAUUAGAGUAGUCCUUGAAGCAUUCGUGCUUUGGUGGUAGACAGUUAGGAAUAAAAAAAGUGGAGAAAGCGAUGAAGCACAACUGAUGGAAAUAGCUAAGUAAAAAGAAUAGUUGGAAAAACUUUUAGAGAAUUUUGAAGAUAAUCUCUAUUGGGUUUCUAAUAAUUUCUUAUUGCUUUCCAACCUUCAAGGCUCUCAUAUUUAUAUUGAAUAAGGGUGCUUCUUUAAAAGUAGUUGGGAGAACGUGCUUGUCAUGGAAGAACACGUUAAAGAAUUACUUAUUGGAUAUGAAGUUCAAUCAUGAAAGAAUGUGAUAAUUAUGGAAGAGCACGUGAUUAUGGGAUAUUAAGAGAAUGACCAUGUAAUUGGGUAGUAGGUGUAAGUAUUGGAUAGUCCAGUAGUGACACUUGAUAGUAUGCCACGUAUACUUUAUUGGAAGAAAAAGAGAAAAAGGUAAAGCAUAUGUACUUCAAGGAAAGGUUAAGAAGAAGUCUUUUUAACUAUCUUCAUAUCUGAGCUACCAAGCUAAGCUCUUUAGAACAUUUCAAAUGUGAAGAUAACUCAUGAACCUUGUCACUUGUUCUGAGUUACUAUCACUUCCCCGUAUAAAAUAACUGUUCCAUACUUGUUCUUAUUCCAUAACACAAUACUUUAAAAAAUAAUAGCUAACGAAAAUUAGGCAUCUACAAUACCUUUUUGGUUAUGUUCAUGACCUUCUCAUGUUGGUAACCAAUUAUUCUCUUUCACGCACGUUUAGAUUUAUGGAUGAAUGUAAAGACUUUGUGUUCCAAUUUGUCCUCUACACAUCUGCUCUCUACCUACUUGAUAUAUAACAUUCAUUACCUACAAAACGUUAUUCUCUACAACAAUUUUGGUAAUUAAAUAUACAACAUAAGUCUAAGAACAGUUAUUGUUAAAUUUUGUUUGCAAGACAAUAUUUGUAAUACUACUAAUAAAUACAGACUAGAACUCAAGAUAAAAAAUAUAUUAACUUAUCAAUACUAAAAUAUGUUUUCAAAUAAAUUUUACAAUUUUUCUUUAAUAAUAUAAACAAUUUUUAUAAACUCGACCACUCAUGGCAACGCAUGAGUCAACCACCUAUUGCAGUUAAAAGUCUCUUCAAUCUUAAAAAACUUAUGCAGAAAUAUUUUGUUUAAUUGUAAUUCUAUUGUGAUGCACAUUUUAUAGUUGUAUUGAUUCAUAAUUGUUGUAUUCUAUUACAUUAUUUUUAAAUUUAUUUUGAAAUUAAGUUUAAACAACAAUAAAACAGUUAUAUUUAAGGCCAAGGUCAAGUAUAAAAGGAUAUGACUUUUUAAGACAAGUUAGUCUCAAAUUAAAUUUAAAGAUUAUCUAUAAUUUAUAUCUAAAAUCUAAAAUCAUCUAUAUCUAUAUACAAUUUACAAUCUAUAAAGCUAAUUCUUGAAUUUUGUGACACGGGUUAAGUGGAACCUACUCAGUCAAAAAAAUUACUUAAAAUCCAAAAUAAAUCAUAAUAUCAAUUGUUAAGUUAAAGAUAUUUUAAUUUACUUUAUUUUUUCUAUAACUUUUUUUAAAAAAAAUUGACCUACUUCUUCCUUAAAAUGAUACCCAUAAAAAACUUUUUUGGAAUUAUAUAUAAUUUACAAUCGAUAAAGCUAAUUCUUGAAUUUUGUGACACGGGGUUAAGUGGAACCUACUCGGUUGAAAAAAUUGCUUAAAAUUCAAAAUAAAUCAUAAUAAGUUAAAGAUAUUUUAAUUUACUUUAUUUUUUAUAUAAUUUUUUUAAAAAAAUUGACCUACUUCUUCCUUAAAAUGCUACCCAUAAAUAACUUUUUAUUCUUUUCCAAAACACUUUCAUGUAGUAUAAUAUUUUAUUUUAUUUAAUCUCUUUAUUCAAAAUUUAAGAUAAAAUAGUCAGUUAUUACAUCAUUUUAUUCAAUUUAAUUUCUCUACUCAAAAUUUGAUUAAUUUAAUUCAUAUACUUUAACAUUGUGUGUAAUUGGAUCCAUUUGAGACACUUCAUCCAAAUUAGACGUUAACGAUGUUGACAUAACAUUGAUGUGUCAAACAAUGCUAACAUGACAUUGACAUAUAAGAUAUAAAAAAAAUUAUUAAAUAAAAAAAUUAACCACAUUACUUUUUUUUUCUUUUUUUCUUUUCUUCUCACCUUUGUUCAAAAUUAUGUCGUUUGGAUGAGACUAUUUAAAAUACAUUUAGUUUCUUUUUAAAUUUUUCCUUAUAUCUCCCCAAGAUCAACCCCCAACCCAUAUUCCAACCAUAGGUGCCUCCACCAGUCACCGAUCUUCAGUGGUUAAGAAUUCCAACAAAAAAUACCACAAAAUUCAUUUUUCGUCCAUUUUUUCUUGAUCGAGAUUAUUUUUUUAAAAAAAUUUAUCUUGAUUUUCCUAAAUCUAAAAACGAGCAAUCACCAAAUAAUGGAGUAAUACCAUUUUUAGUUUUUGUUUGGGUUAGCAAGCAAGUGUACGUGUGAUGAAAAUAUUGCCAUUGAACAAGAAUGCUUUAUGCUUGUAACCUUGAAUCUGAGCACAAUUGGAAUUUUUUGAGCAGUCUGUAACAGAUUAUGAUCAAUUUUGCCUUAGACUUCUGGGUUUUUCAAAUCAGAGGUAAUUUCAUUAAAGCAAUGUGGGUUUUCCAUAUGUGGUUUACAUGAAAGCAUAUUACUCACAUGUAAGAAUAUUAUAUAAUUACAACAAACCUAUUUUGUUCAUUAUAUUUUGAAAUUGGUUUUUUAAUUAUUUUUAUUAUAAAUAUUGAUAAGAUUAAUGCCAUUUGUAAAAGGAAUGUUAAUUGCAUUAAAUGACUUUCAUUAAAUAAUAUAUUUUUCUUAAUUAUAAUAGUAUUGAAUAAUUUAUAAAAAAAAAAUUAUUGCCAGAUUUCAAUUAUUUAUAUUUCAAACUUCAUACUUAAAGAAAUAAUUCCAUUUAUAUAUAAUUAUUAUUUAAAAAUAUGUAAAAAAACAUAAGUAUUUACAUGCAACACACAUGACAACAGAUACUAAUAAAAGAAAAACAAUCAAGCAUGGUUACAUAUGAUACAUUGUCUAUGACGUUUAAAAAAAUCUAGUUGGAGGAAAGGGUUAUGAAUUAUAUAUUGUUAAAUUCUCAAUGUAGUACUUAAAGGGAUAAUUUUUCCUACAUUUUACUUUCCCCAAUAGAUAGUUAUUUCCUAUAUUUAUUUGGGAAAUGAUCAAUUAGUUUUAAUUCUGUUAAGCCUAAUCAAUAUUUAACAAUGCCUGGUCAUGUCCAGUCUAUGAUAGACUGACUGAUAGUAAACUGUGAUGAUCAAGACAAAAUGUAACAGCCCCCUGAAGAAUUAUUUUAAAUAACUUUAAAAGAAAAAAAAAAGAGACUAAUUAUUUUAAACCAUGGGUACUGGCUCCUUAACCACAGCAUCAACAACUUCAUAUUAUAAUGGAGUUAACAAAGCAGAAGCAAACUAGAGAAUUAAACUCCCCAUCCAAAACUAGAGAAUUGCAUCUGUACAACAUUUUACUUGCUCUUAUUUAAAGUUUAAACAGCCUCUCCCAUGAUGAAUUACAUGUGAAGGGUGGCAAGCCUGCAUAUGCUAAACAUAAAUAAGAUACAAAAAAAAUAUAAAAAAAAUAUGGAAGAAAAUUAGCAACAGAAAAUAUUAGAUCUCAGUUGGGGAGAAGGGGAAAAAAGCUUGAACUCAAACCUGAAAAAACAACAUGCAUUCAUUACCUAACACAAAAAGUUAGGUAUCUACGCUGGCUGAUAAGAAAUACAUAUAAUCAAAUGAAUUGAGCUAAUACCUGUCUAUUGCAAAUACAACUGCUAGUAGCAUAUUUAGGUUUUGCACUAAAAGAUGGCAAUUUGUUUGCUGCUAUGAAGAUAAUACUAAAAACAAUCAUAAUUUUGAUUUUCAAGCUGUUCAGAUCAUAAAUUAUGUUUUCAGCUCCUGCAAAAGCACAAUAUUGCUCUAGAGCUUCAUUUGUUCAACCAUGCACACAACUUUCACUCUAUUUCCUCGGCUCCAAGACACCUAACUGCUUUCAGCAUACAUUGAGUUUUCACAUACAAUUGCCAAAAAUCAAAGUACUAUAGAAAUUAUCACAACAUCACCACCAAUAACACCACCCUACCAUCCAUUAAGUAAAACCAAAAUCAAAUUUCAAAUUGAUGUAUUUUCAGAAGUUUCAGCCAACCAUUGAUUGCCUCCACUGGAUUGACCAAAUUGGGAUACUAAUUGCCCGCUGAAAAGUUUAUUUUUGCUUCUCCAGGACAAUUAGAAAACUGUCCAUCCAUGCAUCACCAACCCUCAAUUGCCUUUUCCAAACAGAUUUCCUAAUUGCUUCCUGAAGGUCUGUUGUGUACAGCAAGCAGAAAAACUCCCUAUCCAUGAAUCACUCCCUUCCAUGCACCUCAAAUACAUUGUCUGGAUUCACAUUGUUUGUUAGUGCCCUGAAAGGUCUCUUGGGCUUUGUUUAGACUAAAAUACAUAUUUCCAAAAAAAUACAAGAAAAGAGUUCAUAAAAUUAUAAUUUUGGCCUAUUAUUUUAGAUUCAGCAUGAUAGAAAGGAGAAAAAAAGACAUGCAUUUAUCCAAGGGAGGAACACUAACCCUAGAGCUGACAAUUUUGUUAUUCCAUAUAUAAAAUCAAACACAGCAAAUGAUUUACAACAGAAAUUUAUAUGUGGAAAAACAAGAAAUUCACAGUCAAAACCACAAUAACAUGCAUUUCUAUAUGGCAAACAUAAAAAUCGAUUUACACAAGUCUAACAACCUUCUGGACCUUGAAUAAAUUGGUCCUUUAAAAGUCAAGCUCAAGUUGCUUUUCCCACGGAUAAGUUAAAAGUUACCAAGAGCUAGUAGCUUGAAUCCAAAUAACAAAACAAUCUAAGCUAGAAGAAAACCUUUACUAAAGAGAGAGCAGUUUGCCAUUUGAAGACGGGUUUUAAACAGAAAAGAACAAAUCCUAUGAUGAAAAGCAUUGGCAGCAAAAUGACAAGACCAACUGAAGAGAGAGAAAGCAUUGGAAGAGCCAGUGCUUGAUGACUAUGGUGCUGCAUCCACUGUGAAAAGUGAUAAAGAGGAAGGAGAAUAAGUUAAGUAACCAUGGGCUCAAAUAUUGGCUGGAGGAAGCUUGCUUUGAAGAGGUGGUCAUGCAAUAACAACAGAUAGAUGAUGGUAUGUGCCAGACAAGAUGUCUUUUGGAUCUAUUUUACAAGGAUUGUUUUAGCAGUAGCCUUAUCUUAGACACAGUUGUGCAAAGAUCCACAAGGAAAGAUAAAUAAGCAAGUAAUAAUACAGGAUACAAGAGACAACCUUGGUGAAUCAGCUGAGGGAGAUUUGGAACUUGAAGGGGUAGAAUUAACACUAUCAAAGCACUUGGAUACUUUGUUCUUAUACUUUUUAUUUUUGUUUCCACAGGCAGCAGGUCUUGGAAGAAUGGAUGCAAUAAACUUUGUUGAUGCUUUAUAUAACCCUUAAACUUCUAAAUUUUAUAUUUGAUUGUUUAACCUUGUACAUGGUUUAACCCGUUCAUGCCUUUCAGUGUUCUGCUUUGCAUCUAUCAAAGAAAGCUUAUAAUAGUACUAGAUGGACACGUAGCUACAAUAGAAAAUGAAGUCCUUCACUGAAUGAACAAUAAAGUCAAGGACUUUGAAGCAAAGAAGUUUGAUUUAGAAGAGGAGCCGCUGCUGCUGCUGUAGCAAACGAUUCAAUUCCCAGCAUCUUCAAUUUAAGAGGUAAGGAUAACAAUCUGCCUUGAGGUUUGGUGUCACCAAUCUAUUGAUCAAGAACAAAAUAACUAGGAUCCAAUUCAAGAGGGAGAAGAUAACCGUGGUUUGCUCUACUUUUCAUUAAGCAAGGCACCGAAAAUCUCAAUUUUGCAGUUCUCAAAAGUAAGUGUUCUCCCGGAGGUACCUCACUAGUUCUCUCAUUUUUAGUCAAGAGAUUAGUUCUAUGAACAGGCCAUCUUUUGAAACAUGAAUCAAUAAUGGAAGAAAUUAACAUUGUUAGAGACACUAUAUAAACUAUCAAAGGUAGCCGUUUUUGUGGAUAUGACACAAUGAUGCAUCAUACAAAUGGAACAGGUAAGUUGCCAAACCAUUCUAAGGACUAAUGGGGAUUGAGGCACACACAAUCACAUGUAGUGGCAUGCAAGACAUGACAUCGACAUAAACUCCUAUUGAUGUCUGUCCACCUAGAUAAGUGAAAAUAGACCUCAUCCUUAGACCUGAAAAGGGCUCUCAGGCAUCAAAUUUGAUUUAAGGCUUUUACGCGUUAACUAGAAAACCAGUGAAUAAACAAAUCUUUUGUGUUUUCAGAUGAAUAAAUCCAUCCCAAAAUGUCAUAAAAACUUUGGAAGGUCACAAAAACUUUAACCAAUAGUGCAACGUAUAGGGGCUAAAAACAGCAUUAUACUUAGCUGUUUUCUAUAUUUAAAUAUAACUAAGCCAUCAAGUAAAGCACAAAACACUCACCUUAGAGGUAGUAUGUUGAGAGAGAUGGAAAUUGUCCACCAUCAUCAUCACCGCCAUCCACGUGUUAAGAAGAUUUGUCGCCUGAGUCAAUCAAAACUUCCACCUUAACUUCCCCCUCCGCCUGCUGUGGAAAUUCCACCUUCACAUCCAUUCUUGCAACAUCUGCAUAUUCACCAUCUACAACCCAAAUUCCAAAAUUUACUUUCUAAUGAAAAUAGUUCAACACCCAUCUCUUAGAAACCAUCAAAGAAAUAUAAAAAAAGGAAAAAAAAGAAUAAUUUACCACGGAUGAAAAAGGAGAGGCAGGGCCAGCCGCGGCCAGUGGUGAGAGAGAGGGACUCUUCGCGGGUGAGUUGAUUGGACAAUUGCUCAAUAACAUCGGCAACUCGCUUGGAACCUUUGGGAGGCAGAGGUGUCACGACCCGAAACUCCCCAUCGAGCCCGUGACAACCGCC